rnacentral:lncRNA from 1 species
GAAAAUCUUCACUUUGUAACCUACUUCUCUGCUGGCACAUGUCAUGGGAGAAAGAAGAAGCAUUUUUAACCUCCACAGUUUGUCUAUUCAAUCCAUCAUCCAAAGAAUCAGACCCAGAAUCCGAGUAAGAAGCGGACUCGAUGAAGGAGACAUGGUUAAAUGAUGACAUGACAAAGCAAGAAGGCCGGACAUUGUGAACAACAAUUCCCUGUGAAUGUGCCACAUUUACAAUUUCGACUAUUUGCCUAAAUAUGUGCAAACAUUCAAAUUCAUCAACAGACCGUUCUGGUUUGUUCAACCAAUGCCUCAAGCUAACAUCGUUCCACUCCAUGUUUUGGACAAAAUGGUCAACUGCAGCUUCAUCCUCACAAACCCCAGAUAAAGUACCAGCCUGGUUUUUUAGGUUUUGACGAGCCAGAACAACCCUAUCAGUCUCCUUUCUAAACCCAGAGUUGUAAGAUGCGGAUCUUAGAUUCCUGUUGGUGACUACUGAAGUAUUAAAUCCCCUAUAACUACCAGACUUCUGCCAAGCAGACUCAGAUGAGCCCUCCAUGGUUACCCCCCUUGGGCUGCAUGUAAGCCAGAACAAACGCAUCCAAGAAAUGGAGGAAUUCGCCUGCUACUACCACAUUCGCUAACUUCCACCAUUACCAUCUUCAAUCAAUACCUUAUUUCACAGAAAUAGCAAAAAGAACCUUGCUUCUGAUCAAGCCAAAGCUCAAUAACUCAGCUCCUCGAAUAAAAAUACUAACCCUUGCAGGGCAGCGGACACUAGAAAAUAAGAUGAAAUCUUUUAGCAAGCACACUUCUCCUGAGACAACCGCAACCAGCCUAACAUCAAUAAACCAAUAAGAAAAUUUAAAAAAAGUAGAGAAAAAUCAACACUUACAUUAUACCACACACAUUUUUCCUUUCCUUUCUUCAUCCACCGGAAUUAUAAAACUAAGUCCUCACACGUGCACUGUUCAACACCAAAACAACACAAGCACCAGCACAAAAAAAAAAAUCAAAGACAAGUACAAUAAUAUCCAGAAAAGGAGAGAAACUGAAGAUACCCUUUUUACAAUAUAGAAUUAGAAACACGUACCCAGAGGUUUCAUCAAAAAAACAACACAUGCAUCAGAACCAACAAAAGCCCACACACAAUAAUAUUAUAUACAGCCAUUUAAAAGAAGAGCUAGAGAGAAGGAGGGAGGGAUAAGUACCUGUAGCAGCACCAAGAAUGGAUAUUUCUGAUCCUGCUAGACCAAAAGAGAACCACACAACACAACAAGACUUUAGUUACUACACUCCACUAAACACUACAGCCUCAUAAAUUCCCUCAUUUUUCCCUCACAACUUCAAAAAUAAAAUCAAACAAAACCCCUCCACAAAAGAAAAAAUCAACAUGUUUCAAAUAAAAAAAGGAAAAAAAUACCUCUCUCUCUCUCUCUCUCUCUCAUGCUCUGUUUCACUCUAUAUAUUAUAUAGUUCUUCAUGAAAUUAUUAUGAUAUUCUUUCUUUUUUAAGCCACAAGCUCAUGGUUCGCUCUUUGGCUCAUCUCCCCGCUUUAUUCCAUUUGAGUUACGUGGCACCACCAUAGCCUCAACCUUGUUUGUUUAUUUCUUUGCAAAGAAGCCAAAAGGGAUGGUAAAUUUGAAAACUUUGUGGGCCAUCAGUGCCAAAAAAAAAAAAAAACUGUUCUUGAUGAAAAUAAAGAUCUUGGCUUUCUAGAAUUGGAAACUCAAGGUGAGAACAUGAAAAGCAAAUAAGAGCAUGCCUUACAGGUGUGAAUCAUUAAACUAAUCUGAUGAUGUGAUUCUUGUUAGAACAGCACGUAAGAAACAAUUAAGAAUACUAUAGUGGGCAGUUCUUGUUUCUUUAAUCCGAUUAGUGACACUAAAAAUAAUAUUUUACAAGAAACACUCACAUGAUAAAAAAGAAGCUAAUAAACUAUUGAUUAAUGUAAUGAAGCACAAACAAUGAAGCUAAAAAAAACAAAUAAUGGUGAUAAAAUCAACCUUAAAAUGUGGGUUUGAGUUUUGUGGGGCCCGGGCAUAAAAGUAUACAAGGAAGGAAGGGAAGAGGAUAAUAAUAAUAAUAAUUAAGGAUUGAUAAGAGAGGAUGUGGACUAGUGUCAGGUAGGACUAAUUAUUUUUGGUUUGGUUCGGUUUUUAUCUAUAAAAAUCAAUCAAAUCAUAAAAAAAUAGACCUGGAAUCAAACCGAAACCGGCCCAAACCGACCGGUUUCGAUUUGAUUUUUGCUAGCCAAAACCAAAAAACCUAUGUUAUUUUUUGGCUUUGUAAUGAGCUUCGUAAUUGGUUUUUAACGGAUUUCUGAUGGGCUUGCAAUUAAUGUUGAUAUUGUCUAAUUUUCAUUGAAGAUUCAAAAGCAUAUUUAAUUUUUUUACCACUAAAUAUUAAUUUGUAUUAAAUUGUUAUUGUCAAUCUUAUGUAUAUUGAGUUUUUUUACCACUGAAUAUUCAUUUAUAUGAAAUUAUUAAUGUCAAUCUUGUGUUCAAUAUAUUUUUUACCUUCCUAAUAUUUUUAUGCUUCUGAAAAGUUUAAAUAACACACUCACAAUCACACACCAAUAAGUUAAAAUUCAAAUUACAAAUCAUUGCCUUUAAAGGGCUUAAAGAAAAAAUAACAAAUAAAACUAUCAUAAAACACUCCAAGCCAAAAAAAAAAAAAUCUUCAUUUGCACAUCGUCUCAAUAAAAAAAAACUUCAAGACCAUUGCAUUUUGAUUCCUGAAAUUCAUAAUCUAGAAUUAUAACAUGAUAAAUUAAAUUAGAAAAUAAAAAAAAUAAUAUUUUUACCAUAUGUUUUCAAUAAAUGCAUCACAAUUUGUGAACUAAUUAUCAUCCGUUGCUAGAUGUAACUUUCCAUCAAAUUCUACAAAAUAAAAAAUUAAACAUGUUAGAAUAAAAAUGUGUUAAUUAUUAAUAAAUCAUAAAACAAAAGAUGUAAGUUUUUAAAAAACAUUACCUGAUCCAAGGUUUUUGUAGGUUUCAAAAUCAUUCAUCAAGGUUGUAUUAUCAAUUGGAAUUGGACCAUGAUGCAACCAAUUUUGACAACAAAUAAGUGUUUGAACUGUUGCUAGAGAUAGAGAACUUCGAAAUUGGUUGAGUAUACGACCACCUGUGCUAAAGGCUGAUUUAGAAGCCACUAUGGAUAUAAAAAUAGCCAGAACAUGUUGUGCAACUUUUGAAAGUAUCUUAUAUUUUGAAGAAACAUUAAUCUUCCACUAACCUAAAAUAUCUAAUUUAUCAUUAUUAGGAUCCUCACAACCAUCAACCAAAUACGUCUCAACCUCAUUUCUAUUUUUCACACUAUCUUCCUCCUGUAAGUGCCUUUUGAAUCGAGGUAAAGUGUUAACAUCUACCUCCACAUCAUCAAUAGCAUCAUUAACAUCUUAUUUAUGCCUAUUAUCAUCCACCACUUCAUCAGCUUUCAAAUAAAACUCAUACAAGCUCACCAAAUUAUCUUUCAUUUUUUUUUGUUAGCAAUUGUGCUUUGUUAUAAUCAUACAACUCACCAAAAAAAAAUUUCACAUAUGUUAACUUAAGACGUGGAUCCAAAACAUUAGCCACAUACAAUAAAAAAUUUUGAUUUGCUUCACAACCCCAAUACUUCUCAAACUUACUCAUCAUGUUCAUCGUCAUUCCACUCAAAAGAUUAUCUCUACUUUUACAUAAUUGCAACAAGUUUGUAUGCAUGUAAAUCAAUUCAUUGAAGAAUGAAUUUGAUGUGACAUGCAAUGAGCCAGAAAAUUUCAAUGUAAUCAUGUAAAAGAUCUUUAAAAACUUCAGCAAAGUUCUAACAUUUUUCCAAUCCUCCAAACUAGGUGGUCCUAUGUUUUUUUUAUUCUCCUUUGAAUCAACCUCCAAAAAGUAACUCAUAUACAUAGGUUCACUUUGACCUAACCUCACAAACACCUUUUCAAACUUUUCAGCAGCUUCUAGCAUAAGAUAAGUUGAAUUCCAUCGAGUUGCAACAUCCAAAUACAAUGAUUUCUUACACUCUAUAUGCAACUUUUCUGCACACUUCUUAAAUGCAAGUAGCCUAGAAGAUAAAGAUCUCACAAACCUAAUUGCAUUUCGAAUCUUAACAACCAAAACAUCAAUCUCUUUCAAACCAUCACACACAAUGAGGUUUACAAUGUGUGCACAACAUCUAACAUGCAAAUGUUCAUUUGACAAUAUAUUAGUUAGCCAAUCUUUCAUCACAUUCUUUAAAUAUAAAAUAGUAACACUAUUAGAGCUUACAUUGUCUACUGUAACAGUUAAAAGUUUAUCAAUCCCCCAAUCUAACAAACAAUUCUCAAUAACUUGACCAAUUGUUUCACUCAUAUGAUUGGAAACUUGACAAAAAUUCAGAAUUUUUUUAUGCAAAUUCCACUCACUAUCAAUCCAAUGAGUCGUUAAGGACAUAUAGUUAAUGUUUUGGAUUGAUGUCCAUGUAUAUGUUGUUAAGCAUAAUCGUUGACCCUUAAGAGCUCUCUUUAAUCUUUCCUUCUCUUCAACAUAAAGUUUUAAAUAAUCUCUCAUAAUAGUGAAACGAGAAGGAAUGUCAAAUCUAGGCUGCAAGGUCCUAAAAAAUAAUCUAAAUCCCUUACCCUCAACAAAAUUAAAAGGCAACUCAUCAAUUAUAACCAUUUUUACUAGUGCAUGUCUACAUUUAUCAUAAUCAUAACCUAUUGCCUUAAGAGUUCCCACACUUCGAUCUCCUGAUUCACCCCCCGCUUUAUUAGGUUCUAAUACCAAAAGUUUUUGCUUCUUAUCAACCACAAAAGGAAACUUUUUGUAUACUUUUAAAUGACUCCGCAUAUUACUUGUCCCAUUAAUAAUAGUAUGACAUGCAUAACCCUUUUCACAAUAAUUACAUUCAGCUCUAGGGAUUGUAGGAUCACCAUCAAGUUUGGUAAAAUGAUAUGCUUGGCAAUCAGACUAUAGUUUACCUCACCCCCACUCCCAUCAAAAUUCAAAUGAGAAGCAUGUUAUUCUGCAUAUGAUCUGCUUGGAAAACCGUAAAUAGAAGUGUUACCCCUGUUCAGGGAGCUAUUGCUACAUCAUACAACAUGUUUACUAUUUGCUAAGGAGCUUCACCAUUUAAAAAAAAAACAGUAAAACCUAUAUCAUCCAUUCAUUUCAGAAGCAGUGGAAUGGUAAGUGAUAUUAUCACACUACAAACCAGAACUAGGGCAUAAAACCAACACAGAUAAACAUAAAAAGGAAAUCUCAAAACUGAUAAAAAAAAUACUAAAUGAAUAACAUAAAAAAAAGCUGACCAAAAACUGGUAGAUGAUAUGGAAAAUGGAAAUGCAAGUUUUAGCUGCUAGAUUUCUAUGUUAUACUUAUUUCAGGUUUUAACUUAUAAUCAUAGGUUCUUUAGACAGCAGGUACAAAUUGUCGAAAAAGGUGUUUGACUCAUUUUUUAUUUUCUAUCAAUUCUUAAAAUUUGUGUCCAAGCUAAUUGACAGCUUCUGUAGAGCUUAUUUGAGUUAUUUUUGUUUUCAUUUUUUGCAGAUUAUGUUUUAUGAAGCCUUGAAAGAUUUGGCAGGUUAUCUUAAAGACUUAAACAUCAUUUUUCUUGUGAUGAAACUAAUUUCGUUCACAGAAUCACAGUAAUAAUAGCCAUGAGGAGACACAACACUAAGCAGGCAUGAAUAAACAUUGAACAUAAAAAAAAACCAAUACUAAAUACGGAUGAUUAUACACUAUCAAUAAUUAAAUAGAAAUUCCUAACAAAUUAGUAAAGCAAUUUGAUAAUCAGUAAUUUCAACAAUUUUUUUUUUCUAACAAUAUUGAAUCAAAGAAGGUCAGUAAUCAGUAUCCAAAUUAACUUGAAUAAUCUAAAAAACACAUGAAUAAAUUCUGACAUAUAUGAAACAACAAGCAGAAUGCCUUCAACAGAAUCAGCACAACAACUGUAUCCUUAUUCUUUGACCUCUACAUUGAAAAAAAAAACAAAUACAAUAAAUUAAAUAGAUGAUAAACAGAUAAAUCUAGGCAAAAUAUGAGCAGCCAUUAGUUAAUUAAUUAAAACGGAAAAAACAAAAUUAAAACUCACUGCUAUAGAACUUAUUCGGUUUCGGAGUAAUGGAGAUUGUGGAGUACCAUGUGAUAUUGUGUAGAUGAAGAGGAACGUCAAUCUAUUUAUGAGAGGCUUGACUGGUUUCAAAUGAUGGAAACACAAACUAUUUUGGAUCUGUGUAACCGUGUUUCUAUUUUCUAAGUCUAAAGAGACUAAAAAGGGAGAGGCGAGAGGGUGCGGGUGCUCUGGUUAGGGUUAGUGGCCAGGGAGAGGGGAGACGGUGAGGGCGAGGGAGAGUGUUACUAUGUUAGGGAAUUAGGGUUAGCGGAGAGAGGCGAGAGUGGCAUCGUUUUCUAUUUAUAUCGUCAACACAAAACACUGGUUAGAGACCUUUUUUUGAACCGGUUCGGUUCGGUCCGGGUUAACCGAUUCCUGCAUUACAAAACCGAACCGAAUCGGGAUUUUUUCUAACUAUUCUAAUCGGUUUAAUCAGUUUUUUUUCUCGGUUCGGUUUUUUUUUGCUCGGUUUAUUCGAUUUUCUGUUUUUUUUGCACACCUCUAGUGUCAGGUAAUCUAAAAGGAUGUUCGGCGCAGUUUUUGUUUUUAAAUGUUUUUAAAAAAACAAUUUAUUCAAAAAAAUAUUAAAUUAAUAUUUUUUAAUGUAUUAAUAAAAAAAUAAAAAUAAAAAUAUUUUAAUAAAUUUUCAAAAUAAAAUUAUUUUAAAAAAUACAUUACAUACCCAUCUCAAUUUGAUGUAAAAUUAGGAGCAAGCGAUUUUUUUAUUUUUUUUUUCAAUGUAAAAUUAGGAGCAUGCGAUCCUUCCUCAUAACAAUUAACAGUGGUAAUGUUUGUGGUCCCUACAUCUGGCGGCUAUUAGCACGAUACUAACCAAGUACUCGAAUUCGCUGCUGGGAGGAUUCCAUUCCAAUAACAUGCAAACAUUAUGAAUGCAUUUUCUAGAAUAAUUAAAAAAACAAAUUAGAAAUUAAGAAGUUAAUAUAUGCGACGAAUCACUUUUUUAUCGGUAUAUUUUUAUUAAAAAAUUUCGGAUAAAAAAUAAUUACAAAUAUAAUUUUUUAGGAAAACAAAGCUUGGCAUAAAUAAAUUCAGGAAAAAAGUUAUCAAUGUGAAAAUAAAAUUAAGAAGAAAAGUUAUAAUUAUAAUUGUUAAUAUAAAUUCAUUUUUUUUCUAUUAAUGCAUUUUUAAAAAAAUAUUUUUUUUUUGUUAUAUAUAUAUUGUUUAUUGCAUACAAACUGCAAGCAAUUAAAUUCAAUAUUUAAAAAAUAUUAAUGAUUUAAAAAAAUAUAUUAAAAAAAAUCUUUUUAAUAUUGCAUGGAAAGUGAAAGCAAUUAAAUUCAAUAUUUAAAAAAAAAUAUUUUAAUCAAAAUCUCUUUCCAUUAAAAGAUUUAAUGAUUUAAAAAAAAGACUUCUUUUUUACAAAUUUUUUUUAUAAGAAGUAAUGUUUUUUAAAUAAGAACUUAUUAUAAUCUUAAUAAUAAGUGUUAAUAAAAAAUAAUAAAUUUAUAAUUUUGACAUGAAUGUAUUAAAAAAUAAUAAUAAUAAUAAUAAUAAUAACAAACUUGAAAACAUAUAUAAAACAAAUAGAUAUUUCAUUUAUAUUUAGAAAAUCAUGCACAUUAAAUUUAUAUAUAAUUAUUCUGAGAUAAAUUAUUAAUAUUAUAAUAUAAUAUACUAAUAUUAUUUGAAAAUAAUGAUAUAAUUGGAUUAUUAUUUAAACAUCAUUUAAAUAAAUUUAUUUUAAAAUAAUCUAAUUAUAAAAUGCUAAAAGAGAUAAAAAAAAUACAAGGCUAAGCAAGCACGGGCUAGAAGAAUAAGCCUACAUGUUCGGCCUACAUGAAAACCUAUAGGUUCUGGGGUCUAGAAACUCAAGUUCGCAUGUCUGAUUUUUCUAAAAAAAAACACGAUGUUCACUUUUAUUUUUAAAAAAUUAGACAAAAAAUAUGUUUUUUGACAGUCAAAUUACACAUUAUUUGUCUACUAUUUUUUCUAGUCAUAAAAAAUGUCUUCGUGAUUGAAAAAUUAGGAUUCAAAAACUUGAACCCCAAAAACCUAGAAUCCAACCAUUUUCCAUCCAAAAAUAUAAAGAAAAAAAAACAUUUAAUGAACCUCCAUUACCUCGAUUUUAAUAAUAAAAUAUAUUUUAAUUAGUUUAAAAAUUCUAAAUUAAAUCAAAUUAAAAAAAAAAAACUCAUGCACUGAAAAUGGCCACGCUUCUUAGGGUUUGGACUAGGAUUUGAGACUCAUGGUUUCUUGUUGGUCCACUUUGAGUAUGAGUUCUCAUAUUUUGUAGCUUCCCUUCCCUUGAACAUUCAUUCUUGGUAAAACAUGUCAUGAAUUUAUAUAAUAAAAACAAUUUUUAUUUUUUAUUUUAUUUUUUAUCUGUCACGUAACUAAGUUUCAUCCUCUUUCUCGUCUCGUCCGUUCACCAAACGCCUCCAUGGUUAUUUCCAUGAUCAAUAAUCCAUUGUCUUUUAAACAACCAUUAAUUUUAUUUGUGGUGGGCAGUUACUGCUAAACAUUCAGUGAACUUGAAAUGUGUUUUCAAGUUUAAGUUUAUUUAGGCCGUCUCUGGACCACUGGUCCACCUUCCUAAAUAUAGACCAAAUUAACAUGAUGUGAAGAACAGAUCCCAUUGUGAACAUGAUAAUCAAAUCCACUUUGAAGGUCCCCCUCAAAGUUUUGUGAUUUUCGAUAAGAUUCCCAGUAGAUGCACAGAAACCCAGAAACCCACAUACAUUUCAUCAAGAAAUACCUUAGAAAGGUCUAGAGGAACAUUAAUCAGUGGCCUCACUGUGUGUGUGUGUGAAGGAGCCAUGGUUACGCUCAACUCUUGGAAAGACCAAUUAGUCUUGCUUCGAUCGUUCUUUGCAUAAGACCAAUAUCCGGCUUCCUUGGCAACCAAAGAAGAGAGUGCGCGUUCAUGACAUGUUUAUCAUUAAUAUCAUUGAAUUCUUGAACGUCGAAUUCAAUGCCUAAAACAUGGUUGUUGGGGGUAACCAUCAUUGGUGCUGUUCAAGAAACCAAGAUGCCGUUGUCAAGAGGCACCUUCAAUACCUAGAGAAGGCACGAGAAUGAAUGCAAAACCAUGACCAGGGGGGGAAUUGUUGUAAGGGGUGAUGGAGAAGGUGAAAGAGGACGAGAAUGACAGGAGCUUUGAGGAGUUCGGGUAUCUUAUGGGAAUCCUUGUAGAGGCCUCUACCACCAGAAAAUGUGAUGUCUCCGGUGAGGGAAAGCGUGCCAGAUUGUAGCUCUGCAGUGCCAUAAAGUAACAAGCUCGAAGAGCUGAAACUGUAACUCGACUGCUAUUGUAAAUUGGAGAAAGGAGUUAUUUAAGAAGAAUAGUAGCACAUGGUGGAGCCCGAAGCUUCAAGAACUGGGUUCGUUACUGUCAAGUGCCAUCCAUCACCGGUCUUGUAAUUGCAACUUAGUGCAUGCACCUCCUUGUUUUGGAAGGAUAAUAACGCACUCAGCAGAUACUCUACAUCUUGGGUAUGGUGGAUGCAACAUUUGUCUUUCCACACCGUGGAAUAAUUUCACAUCAUCCAGAUACUCUACAUCUUAUGGCUAAUACAAAUGCUCUCCAAGAAUGGUCAAUAAUUUUGAGAUUGCAGUGAUAGUGGAAAGUAAAUACAUGUGAUAAAUUGCAGAGGGGAGAUUUAUCAGUGAGCUAUAAUCUUGUAGCUAAAAUGGCCACUAGCUAUCUUUCUAAGAACAUAUACAAAAACCCCAACCAACGGUUUUUAACUCAUAUUUCACAUAAGGAAACCACCAAUCAAAUUACUCUUAAGAGUCCCAGCAAUACUUCUCAUGUGGGGCUUACCUCAUCGACCUGAAACAAAUAAUGAAUUGGCUGAUAUUUGGUAGCUUUCAGCCUGGACUUUUCUAACCCUUGCCUUGUCAAAGCGUGCUCGUCUAACAGCUUCUUGGAUCUGGCGAUCAUGAUCCUUCAGCAUCUGAUCCAUGUUCCCCGAUGGAACUAUCAAUGGACCAGAAUAGUGGAUUUUGUGAGCCUUUGACCCAUAGCCAAGCUGGAUCCAAAUUAACAAGAACCAUGAAUCAGGAAACACACAAAAAAAAGGCUCCUCAGAAUUCAGGAAACAUGAAAUUGUAAAUCAAUCAACUUAGAAAAGACGGUUUAUAAACAACUUGCAUGAUAUGAUGCAGACCAGGACAAAGCAGCCAAGUGGUUAAAAAAUUCACUGAAAGGUUAAGCAAAAAAGCAAAAAAAAAUAAACAAACAACGAAAUAAAAGAAAACUGAAUUGUGAAGUGACUUACAAGGACAGGAUCUUUACUGUUAUUUCUCCCAUCUUCCUUUUGGUGGGAACCUGCAACACCCUGUGACAGACGCUGUGGAUCCUGUUGGGCAAAGGAUUCUGAGGUUUCCUUGAAGGAUCCUGGAAACCGUGCCAUUAGUUUUGGAACUUCCGGUUGUGAUAGGCCAGACCUUUCUCUGUGAUCUUCAGAUAAUAAACUCCUCCGCGCCGCCUCUAAGCUUGAAAUUGUUGACAGGUCAGCCCCCGUGUAAAUCUUAGGAGCAUCAUCGGGGUUUCUGCCAGCCUUUGCCCAUCCAGAACGGUGAGACAGUGGCCCAGAAUGUGAGGCUCUCUUAUGCUGAUGACCCUGAGGAUCCAUGUUUGAUUCUGCAGCUUGUGAUGGUCUAGGGGGAUCAAUUGGAAAGCCAGAAGCAACUUCCUCAGGAUGGGGAUUAAACUUCUCACUCCGGCUCUUGGAAUUUGGACGACCAUGUCUUUUCUGUAAUUAGAGCGCAAUCCAUUGAUAUAAAUUUCAUUAGUAAAAUCAAAUUUAAUCAAAUGGAGUGCCAAAAAAUAAAGGGAGUCAACAGUAAAAGAGAUAAUUCAUGAAAAUAGAACAGCAAGAAACAAUCAAUUGUUUAGGUAAUAAUGCUUAAAAGAGGGCUGGAGCAGCUCAAAAGGACAGUAGUCAGAUGUAGUUUGAUAAAAAAAAAAAGUAUGACUUGCUGCUUUCAAGGCAUAAGGAAGAUGGAGAGUGCGAGAGAGAGGACAAAAGAAAGAAACUAGAUAAGAUUUCUUGUGUCUCACAAAGUGCCUUUUGUACAAAGCUGUUUUCUGUAGUGGAGAAUUGCAAUUUCCAUGUGAUCAGAAUGGCAAGAUGGCACAUUACUUUAUACUUCAUUGUUCUGAGAAGAGUGCAAUAAGAAGUGUUCUAAGACUUCGUGUUAUGACUGGCUUGUUUACUAGUUUCAUCUAUAACAGAGCUAGCUUUAAAAAUAACUUCCUUUCUCUUCUGACCAAUCUUUCAACUCAGCAAUUCUCUGAACCUCACCACAUGGCCCAGCAAGCCUACAUACCCAUCUCCUAAUCACAAUACUUCCCCAACCGCACACACACACAUGCAAAAAAGUGUCCUGAGAGAGCUAAGGUUAUCUUAAAGAAAUCACCUGCAUUGAUAAAACUAGCUCAGCAUUGGCAUCAGGUGCUGGAACAGCUCGAGAUUCUCUUUGCCCUCUUCUUUCCAUGUCAGGUUUCUGGCCCUUGCUUCCUGCUGCUCCUUGUCUGUUUGUGUGAACAAAAAAUGGGAUUGUUAGCAAACUACACUACAUUUACAAGUCAAGGAUUCCAUCAGUGAUAGAAGCACGAAGGAUAGUUUAGUGGAUCAGUAAGAAACACACAAUAAGCAAUAUGAGCAAGGGCACUAAGGCAACUGUCACAACCAAAAUACAAAAUUAUGUAAACAGACACUGCAUUCAUCUGAUUCAAAUUGAUUCCUACUUCAACUAUUUUUUCUCUUUUCUCAACUAGUGCACGCAACUUCUAUAUUUUAACAAUGCCAUUAACUGCGGCCAACAUGCCAAAAACGAAAUCUUUUAAAGCUUUUUUUCCGGGCCUUUGCCAGAAGCCUUCCAACAAAAGAUUAAAUGAACAAUAAAUUGGAGAAAAACUUUUUUUCUGUUCUUUUACAAUGUUUACCUUCUAGCUUCUUCAUCUCGCAUUUUUGCAUCAAACUCUUUGCUAGGAGGAUAAUCAGGCAAACUUGAAGGAUCACAAGGAAGCGGCUUGGUCGUAAAGAACUUUAAACAAAACUAAACAAGUCAAAUACAAAUUAACAGAAAGCAAGAGAGAGAAUUGUAAAAUAGAACUAUAAAUACUAGAGCCAACCUCAGCCAGCCAUGAAGAUUAUACUCAUCUUAUGAUUUAUUUAUUUGUCUAAAAAGAAAAGGUUAAAUGAACACUUGCUACCAACUGCUUUGGACCAAUAUGUUACAUUAAAUGGAUGGUAUUUCUCCAAAAUUAUGUUAAGAUUACAAAAAAAAUAGCUGUGCUGCAUAAGAAGCUAUAAUAUCAAAUAAGGAACUCAAAAAUAAAAAUAUACGAUCAGUUACCAGAGCUACAUCAAAAAGGUUGACAAAUUGCAUGGUGAAAAGAAAACACAAAAAGAACAUACACACUCUUGUACAAGAUGCAGUUUUUUUUUCAAAGAACAUGUUACAUAGAAGGAAGCAUAGGGAAAUGAAGGACGGUUCUCUUUUAAUUGAUCACAGAAAAAAGAAGACAUACACAAAAAGAAGAAAUAACAUAUAUAAGAAAACAUACACAGAAAGAAAACAUCACAGAAAAAAUAAAUAUAUAAGAUCAGUUAACUGAGCUACGUCAAAAAGGUUGACAAAUAGCAAGGUGAAAAGAAAACACAAAAAGAACAUGCACACUCUUGUAUAAGAUGCAAUUUUUUUUUUCAAAGAGCAUGUUACAUAGAAGGAAGCAUAGGGAAAUGAAGGACAGUUCUCUUUUAAUUGAUCACAGAAAAAAGAAAACACUCAUCAACCACCAACUAAAAUUCAAAACUGUUCAUGGUUGUCGAAAAUUCACAAACUAAAUGUGAUACACCAAAAUAUACAAAGUGCAUAAAAGAGUGAAAUUGUAGGAGUCUUCGAGUGAGAUCAAGGGACAGAAAAUAAAUCCUAAAAGCAACACAGCAUUUGGCGACAGAUUAUUGAUGAAAACUCAACCCCGUAUAGUUGCAGGCUAGCAGUGACAAAAUGUGAUUAACAGAAACACAAUCACCAUUGAGAAAACUGGGCUUGGGUGCUUUUGUGAAGAAACAAAGUGGAAUGAAUCAAAGGAGCAGCCACAAAAGUUUGGUAAAGUUGAUUAGUUGUGGAAAAAUACAAUGAAGCAUAAUAGAGAGAUCUGAAACCUAAUAUAUGCAACGAGAUGGCUAAAGACCUGUCACAAUCUAAACCCCUUAUGAUACAACUUCAGAGUGGUGUGAAUUGCCUGCUAUUGUGUCUUUGCUGAUGGCACCAGGUGAACUUGAAUGUUUAACAGGAUUUACCUCCGUCCAAUUACAUAAACACAAACUCUUCCAGUGACUUUUAGAUUGCAACAACAUGGUAUCACAUGAGUUGGAAGGAAAACAGACUUCAGUCUCAAAAUGUAUUUCAGUGACAAUAAUAACAAAAAUCCUAGACAAAAUUAUUAGAAAGAUCGAAUUAAAAAUGAAAGAAAUGUUAAUGAGUGAUUUACUUAUUAGGUAAAAAGAAUUGAAAUAUAUGCACUAUCAUGUGUAGCAAUAUAGAUCUUCUAAUUGAAGCCAAUAUGUAUCUCUGAAUCAAAAAAUACCAAGAAGACCAUAAACCACUUUCCAAUGUAACACCAAAUCCCCCCACCCCCAAAGGGACAAAAAACACUCACAAAAAGGGAAGGGGAAUUUGAGAUACAUAGUUCAUGGAUACCUCAUACCUCACUCCUCAGAGCAGAAGCUGCAGAUCCACGAUCUACAGGAUCAAUGGCGAGCAGGGUCUCCAUAAGAGCUAAAGCUGGUGCUGGGAAUUCCUUAAAUGUUUCUGCAACACAGCGUCUAUAAGGCUGCUGAGGCUUAAAGAUAGUCGCAUGAGGCAACUUUGAUUUUCUCCAAUAAUCUUCAGAAGGUGAGCCACACAGCUUGAAAAUUUUAUGCAGCUGCUCCACCUACAAGGCAGAGGCAUGCAAACUAAUCAUCAACAUUUUAAGUAGCUGCACUAAUGUUUUUUAUGACACUUACAUAGAUUAUAAGAAAGCAGAAAAGGGAUACGGCAUCUUGUGAUAAUUAUUCUCUCUUUCAAUCUUUUCUUUUUGAUAAAUCCUUUUUCUUUUUCAUAUUAUAAGAAUUUUGCAAAAGGAUAAAGAAAUUCAGACAUAUCAGACUCUGUUAGGUCUUUGCUUGAGGUCUCUUUUUAAAUAAACUUUUACAAUAGCUUGCAACACUGCUAAAACAUAUUCUUACUCGAGUUCCCUUAUUUUUACCUUUGACCAAAUUUAUAGAAAAAAUAAGGCACCCUCCAAGGUUAAAGUAAACAUCAAGACACGGUUACCUAUGAUCAACACCCAUGAUUUGUCAAAGGUGAGAACUCAUAAGGUAUUAUCACCUAGUGUUUGUGUUAAGUGUUAUAGUAGUAGAAAGUGCAUGACUAUGUUUCUUGCAUUGCCCAACAGCUUGGAAUGUGGAGUUGAGUUUCUAAAUGCUGAAAAGAAUUAGGCACUUCUGCGUAGGGUGGAGAAGAUGUUAAUGAUCCAUUUAGUGGGUUUUUUGCUGACAGGAUGUAAUUCGACAAUCUUCAAAGCAAUAACUAUCUAGAAGUUAGCACGGGAUAAAAUUUGUAUCUGGCAAUAAUUAGUUCAACAUUGUACUUGGAAUGAUGGCCCAUGAAAAAUAAUCUGCAUUGCAGUAUAUUAUAACAUGAAAUAGCAAGCAUCUAAGAGAAACACUCUGUUUGGUGGAGAACCCUAAAAGACAUUUUUUUUUCUCGAGAAUAGAAAAGGAGAGCACCUCAGUUCUCCCUGGCAUAAUAGGCUUGCCAGCAUACAAUUCCGCAAGUAUGCAACCUGUACUCCAUAAAUCAACAGCUAUCCCAUAGUAGGUAGCUCCAAGUAGAAGCUCUGGAGGACGGUACCAAAGAGUCACUACUCGGCUUGUCAGUGGCUGAACCUGGGCAGGAUCAUAAAAACUUGCUAGUCCAAAGUCUGCAAUUUUCAAGAUACCAUUGUUGUCAAUUAAUAGGUUGGAACCCUUUAUAUCACGGUGUAGAACACCACGGCUGUGACAGUGAUCAAGUCCUCGUAAAAGUUGUUGCAUGUAACAUUUCACCUGCCAGCAUAUACAUAUUAGACCACAACAUCCAAAGCAUACAAGCAUGAGUCAAAUAUCAAACCUGUUCUACCUUUUAAGAUUGACAAUUUACACAUGGAUGAUCUUGGAGGAUAAGGAGCAUGUAAAACUAGCAGAUGUUAACAAUAAAAUACGUAUGAAUUUCAUAGUUAGCAGCUGAUAGCCUGUCACGGCAAAAUGCAAACACCCAUUGAAUUAGAAUCUAUUAGAACCAAACUGCCAAAAUUACCUGGGCUUCUGUAAAAUUCAGACCAGGGUGUGAGGCAAGCCCAGCCAAAUCAUGCUCCAUGUACUCAAACACAAGGUACAAGCUGCAUGACAUCCUUGAUGUAACUAGGCCUUCUAACUUUAUUACAUUAGGAUGGUCAAGCCUGCGCAAGAUGUGAAUUUCCCUGGCCAUGAAGCGAACACUCUCAGGUUCCAGGUUAUCAAACCUUACUUUCUUCAAAGCAACAAUCUUCUUCUGAUCAAGGUCACGAGCCCUAUAAACAUUACUGUAGGUUCCCUGGCCAAUCUGCAUUAUAAUAGAAAUCAUCAGAUGAGGGAACCAAAUCCCAAAAGCAGGUCAUUUCAGUUCAAAGAGGACAGCAGCAGAUAAAAAUAACAGGGCAAACCAUUCUACAAGAACUUGUGGGACCUGAAUAGAAUGAUCUGCUGUUGUCAACUACUCAAAAAUUAUACACAAAAAAGUGCAAAUAGAAGUCCAUGAUAUCCAAACAAGAAAUGCUCAACAGCAAACCUGGCCCCUUGGCCCUAGCUUAAAGAGUAAGAAAAUAGUAAAAUACAAUGGUCAGGGACACAGGAUACAGAUUUGCACAUUCAGACCAGCCUAUUCAUGCAAAUCGCUUCAUCCUUCAAGACUAGAAGUUUGAAAAAAUUCAGCCAAAUUAACCAAAACGGAAUACCAAAAGCAGGGAGCAGGAAAUUCCAGCUACUGAAGUUGUUAACAAGCAUCCAUUUCUUGAAUUAUGCGGUAAAAUUAACAAUACAUGUUCAACUAAAAGUUAUAAGCUAUCUGUCCAUAUAAUAGCAGCUCCCUCACACAUCUUUAAAUGCUAUUGUAAAAUUUAAGUUUUUUUCUUUAGGUGAGAGGGGCAAGACAUGAACUCGAGAUCCUGCCGCCUCUCCCCUGAUUCUUGUGGAUUAGAGCUUUUGGGCUAAACUAUCUCAACAAAAUUGAAAAAGACCUGUUACAAACAAUGUUGAUACAUAGCACUCAUCUUCAUGGACCCAACUACAAUUCAGAUAUCACAUACACACAAUGCAAGUUGAAGAUUAUACCACACUUUUAAUAUUCUGCACUUUGUUUACUGUUCUUCCCCCACCAUAUUUGUUUCAAAGUUCCCUCCUUCCUCAGCACACUAACGCUAAUUGACUGGCAGCUUAUCAAAAUUGGAUUCAUUUUAGACCCAUUGUAUCUAUUUUGAUGGAUAAUUAUCUAAAUGUUAUGGGUAUUCCACUAACUAUAAUAAAAAGGGCACAUUAUCAAAGAAUGGUGCUUCUCGAAUAUUCCCCAAUACUAAAUAGCUCUUAAAUUCUCUUAAUAGCCUCUUACAUUUUCUCAAAGCUCUUGGACUCGAACAUGGAUACUUCCUAUUUUCUGAUAUGGUAAUCUCUCUAACCAAAUAAAAAGGUCUAACUACAAGAAAAUCAUUCAAACCUUUAAAGCAUCACUAAUUCCUACACUGUGAUUGCAGAAACAUGGAUCUUUCUCUGGUGUAAUCAGUAUAAGCCAUUCAAAUUCAAACUCUUUCAUAUCCAUACUGUCUCAAGCCUCUCAAAACUCUAUGCUUCUCAAGCCUCCAGGCUCUGACAAGUAAACUGAACUUCUAGCUAACAUUUAUUUAGAAGUUAUCAGGUUCAAAGAAUCCGUCAUUACUCUUAGCAUGUAAAAAUGAGUUAUGCAGAGCUCUUAUGCAUGUUAUAAAUGAGCCUUCCUAAAUGUAUUUUUCACCACCUUGCUUAUUUAUAAAUAUAAAUAUAACAAGCAUACAUACAACACAAAUCUCAAGGAAAAGUCACUUAAUAGCACCAAAAAAAAGUUCCAUAAUUUUGCUAACUGAAUUCAAGCUAAAGCUAUAAAAUUUGACAACACACCAUAUCCAAUGCGUGCACAAAUGAAAAUGCUAAAAAAUGUAACAGUCCAAAAAGGUUCUAAUUCUAAUUAGCAAUCGUCACUUUGUUCAUUGCAUUAUGAACCAAUCGAGGUGUCAUAAGCAUGUUCUUCAACCAUUAAGUUUGAAUUGCUAAAUUUUGAAAAUCAUAAACAGAAUCUUGCUUGCAAUGGAGCAGAGCUUACAAUAACACAUGUCAACGUUGAGCUUAGAGAUUUUUUAUGAAGUUACUUUAAAAGUGGAAAAAACGAUCAUCAGUAAUUGCAGGACGUGUUCUAAACAAAAGCACAUGUCAACGUUGAGCUUAGAGAUUUUUUAUAAAGUUACUUUACAAAAUGGAAAAAGGGAUCAUCAGUAAUUGCAGGACGGGUUCUAAUGAUUAAAAAUGAGAUAUAACAACAAAAACAAAACGAAAAAAAGGGCAUACCUUGUCCAGCUUCUCAAAUGAAUCCGCACGCCGUGGCAACCAACCUUUGAUUGCCUCUCCAGCCACAGCAGCUAGCCAGGAAGGCCACCCAGCUGCAACCUGCUCCCCUUCAGUGGCUUUCGGUAUGCUGCCCAUACCUGGGUGGUGAAGAACUGCAUACUCUGACUUGUCCCUCUUCCUAUCAACAUGCUCAACCCCAUGCACUCUAAGAGACCCAUUCACUUGCUUGUCAAUCAACAUUGUCCUACCAUCAUUACUAUCAUAUUGAUCUUUCGCUCUAUAUGCUUCCUCUCUCCUUGAAGAGGUAGCCCUUGAUACCCUCAAGUCAGACGAGGGCUUACUUGAAAGUCUCUCUCUUGGGCUCUCCUUGCUAUCCUCAAUUGCAGAGGGUUUACAACACAUGCAACCCAUUAUGUACCUAAACCACCUCCAAAAACACCCUUCUCCUUUAGAAUCAAUAAUUACCCUUCAAAAAUCUCAUCUUUACACUUCUAUCCUCUUCUUCCAUUCCCAUUUUCACACAACCAAACUAUACUUCAUCGAAAAUAAGCAAUUAAACUAUGUAUCUCAAAAUCAAUCACCGGAAGAGCAUAAGCAAUUCCCACUCAAGAUUGAAACUUUAAAAUAACCGAACACUAGAACCACACAAUUUUGCACAAUAACUUAACUGUGACUCAAUGACUGCUCUUUUACUGUGAAACUUCCAUUUCCUUAUCAAACCCACCGACUCCUAAUCCAAAAAAGGAAACCAAUUUCCUCAACCUACAACGCUAAAAAUGAAAAAACUAACAACAACCACCACCUUUACUCCAACAACAAAUUAAGAAUCACAACCUGAAAACUAAAUACCUUUAAAAUGUCAUGCCUAAUCUUUUCAGCUAUCGAAUCAGGUGAUUGAAAACCCUCCACCAAACUCACAAUUCCACUACAAAACAAACCCUAAAAACCCAAUAAAAAAAUAUAGAACCCAAAUUACCAAAACAAACAAACAAAAUCUAAAGAAAGUAAAGAACUGGAAACACUUCAAUAUAAAGCAUGCACCUUGAAAAUGGAAACCAAAAUGGUAAUAAACAAUAUUGUGAAAUGAGAAUUGAAGGACCUCCUAGAGAUGGAGAGAUCUAGGGAAAGAGAGAGAGAGAGUGGAGUAGUGUAGAGAAGAUGACAAGAAAAUGAAAAAUGAGAAUAAAUAUGUAAUACAAUAAAUAAAUAAAUAAAUGUGAAAGUUAUUACUAUAUAUUAAUAUUAUUAAAUUAAUUAAUUAAUGAGAUGGCGCGUAAGAACAGACAGGCUUUUAGAGAAGACUGAGAACUGAAGAGUGAGUGAAGACCCCAAUGCGUAAAGACAUUCUUGGUUUGUGUCUUCUUCUAUCCCCACGCGCUCUGUUUAUAUUGACACGUGUAUAUUUUUUCUUUGCCUUCGUUUUUUUUUAAACAAAACAUUAUUUAUCAUUUGAUGAAUAAUCUCUCUUUAGAUUUUUUACUGCCAGUUUAUACCUGACUGAAUAAAGUAAAAAAAAAAACUAAAUAGAAUAAUUUAACAAAAAAAUAUUAAAACCUAUUUCAUUAAUUUAUUUAACUUGUAGUUUAACCGAAUAAAAACUGAAUGUUACUGUAUUAUUUUCAAUAAAAAAAAACUUGUGUAUAUCAUAAAAUUUUCUCAACUUUAUAUAAUAUUAUGAUAAUACAUAAUUAUAUAAUAUAUGUGUCAAAUAUUAAUGUUGUUUUAUGAAUUAAACCCUAGUCAAUAUUCAUAAUAAAAACAUAUCUUAUAAUGGUAUUGUAGCUUCACAGGAUCCGUUUUCAUCUAUGGUAAAAUUUCUGUGUUUCAUUUUUUACCAUGCUUUAUUAAAAGAAAAACUAAAAAACGUGAGAGUUUCAAUGUAACUCUAUAUAUAAAUUAUUGUAAAUUAUUAUAGUAAAAUUAUUCUUUUACCUUUAAAUAGAAAAAACUUAAGUCCUGAAGUUGGGGUUUUUUCCACUUACCUAUUAGUUAUUGAAAAUUUUUUUGGGGAUAUAUGUGUUUUUUCUAAUUUUUUAUACAGUAAAAUACUUUUUUUAUUAAGAGUCAACAAUAUUUAUAAAUAUUGACCAAGGGCUUUCUUGAUUUUUCUCAAAUUUUUUAACAGCAAAAAUAUUUUUUUGCCCCCGAUAUCAAAAAUUUAUGGAGUUGUUGGGCAAAGGUGUUUAUGGUUUUUUCAUGAUCUAUAUACAGAAAGCAUAUUUUUAACCUUAUAAAAGACCAAAAAAAAAUAAGUUUUUCCUUUAAGGGUGUUUUAAUAUUUUCAUAUGAGUAUUCUGUGUAAUUAACAUGUUCAUGAGGGUGUUUUGGUAUUUUUCACAUUUUCUUUUCAAUUUUUUAUUCUAAGAUCUGUUGAAUGCGUGUUCCAAACAUGCUGAAGAGUGGAUGGCGUUCGUGUCAUUCAGGUGAUGAUGAUGGUGAUAAUUGUGGUAGUGAUAUUUAUAAUGAUGAUGAUGUCAUCGUCGUCGUCAUCAUAAUAAUAAUAACAAUUUCAUACUCACAUUUUUUCAUACUCACAUUUUAUUCAAAAAAUAAUAAUAAUAAUUUAUUAUGAUAGUUGUAGUGAUUAUGAUAUCAAUAACUAUGGUGAUGAUGGUAAUAAUAUUAAGAAUUAUUAUAAUAAUGAUAUUGAUGGUGGUGAUAUUAUAAUUAUAAUAGUAAUAAUAAUAAUGAUAAGAAUAAAAAUAAUAGUAAUAUUAAUUGUGAUGGUGGUGAUAAUAAUUAUAAAAAUAGUAUUAACAAUAAUAAUAAUAAUAAUAAUAAUAAUAAUAAUAAUAAUAACAACAACGAUAAUAAUAACAAUAAUAAUGGUAACAAUAAUAAUGAUAGUAAUCACGAUAAUAAUACUAAUAAUAACGAUAAUGAUAUUACUUAUUGAUAAUAGUAGUGAUGAUGACAGCUGUAAUGUUAGUGAUAGAAGUAUUGAUGAUGAUAAUAACGAUAGAAUACUAAUGGUGAUAAUUCAUCAUUCGAUGUUAGAUUUGUUAGGAAUUGAGUUUCACCACUUUUCCAUGUAUGGAAUUUCCGGUCUAAUAUUCUGGGUUACUAGUUUGAAAAGUGUAAUUGGAAACUCGUUUUAGGAAAAGAUCCAAGAUAAGAGAUUUCAAGAUUCAUCUUAUUGUCCGGGUUUAUAGCAUUGCAAAAAAAUCUUUGUGCUCUUGAUAAUUUUUUUCUACAUUUUUUAAAACAUGGUUUGGCUCGUGGUGGAGCGCAAAAAAAUGAACGAGUACACUUUCUAUGUAUUGUUGUUUAUCGUUGUUUAGAGAGCACUUUUUUUAUCUAUUGUUAUUGAAUUAUUUUUAAAUUAAAAUUAAAAUUAAAAAUAAUAUGGAUCAAACACCUUUAUUCAAACUUACUAAAUUUAUGUAACGAUCACUUUCUUUAUUUUAUCAAAAUUUCUAAAAACCAACAAAUCUUGAUAUUUAGAAAUUUUCCUAAACAAAUAUAUACCAAAUGUAUUUGUGAUUUGAGUAUUUUUUUUAAACAUAGAAAUUGACGAAGUCAUGAAAUCUUCAUAUUGGAUUAUGCUUUCCACGGGUUGUGAUUUUAGGCUAGAGAAGUGACCGAUUUCACCACUAAUCAAUAAGAUUUUCCUACAAAACAAUCUCAUGUUGGAACAAGAGGUCUUCUAAAAAUUAAUUUAAUAAAAAACAUGAGGGAAAUAAUAUACAUGAAAGUAAAGAAUGUAGGAGAGUGUAUUUGUGAAUGUUGGAUUGGGUGCAUUGUGUAAACUUGUUGAAUAGUUGUUCGUGAUUUCUAAAAUUGUUGUCUGGUUGCUUGUGUGUUUCUGGAAGUGUUGGGUGGUUGCUCAUGGUUAUUGGAAGUGUUGGCUGAUUUCUUGUGAUUACUAGAUCGAGACCCAAAUAAUUUUUCAAGGUCGAGCCAGCCAAAAUAAACUGAAAAGCAAUUUGUUUGGGUUGUGGCCUAAAGGGAUUGAAGGUAGUCAUUUUGGUUUGCUGGCCUAAACAUGUUAUUUAAUUAUUAUUAUUUUAAAUUUUAACAAAUUUAUCGUGCCAUCAUAUGUCCCCCAAGUCUUUAAAAAACAUGUUUGGAAGACUUUACCGAAAAAAAGUAGGGGAUAUAAAAUACUUAUUGUUUUUAUACUGGUGAUGUUACUUGCUUUUGUUAAUGUACAUACAUGAGAGUUCUCUUAAUUGUUUUUCAUCAUUUCUGUGAAGAGAAGAGAAUUUAGUCAAUUUUAUGUGUUCUUCCUAGAAUAGAGAACAUUAUUACUUAAAAGUGGAGAAUAUUUCAUGUGAAAACAACUUUAAAGUAUUAUAAUAUUGGAGAAGUGGAGAUUUCAUUAGAGAUCUCAAGUUGAGAUCUUUAUUGGAGACAUUAGAAACACAUUUAGAGACAUAGAAACUUCGCUUGGAGAUGUGGAGAUUUCAAUAAAGAUAUGAAGAUCUCAUCAUGAAGAUUUUUUAUUGAAGACAUGAAGAUAUGUUUUGGAGACACGAAGAUCUUACUUUGGAGAUUUUUAUUAAAGACAUGGAGAAAUAUUACUACUUUUAUUCAAAAGUUAAUGGAGAUAUAAUUUCUAAAAAUUAUUUGAUCUUGGACAGUCCAUCAUAUGAAUUUUUUUCAGUUUGUUCAGAUUCUUUUUUUUUUCUUCAUAAAUUAUUAGAGGUAUCCUUUAAAGAUCAAUUUUCCCUCUUCUUUUUCAAGGUAUGACAUUCCUCAAUGUCGUGAUCAUGGUCAUGGUAAAAGUGACAGGAUUUAUUAGGGUUCUUUGUAUUUGCGCUGCUUUUCUUAGGGCCAGGUAUCAUUUCCUUGAUUGGUAGCCAACACUUUAGUAUAUGUAGUGAUAAAAGGUGUGUUCAGGAGCUCGAAGAAUGUUAGGCGAUCAAGAAAUGAUCUCUCAGUGCUCUUUUUCGAUGCCCUGGUAGGAGAUCGAUAACAUUACAGAGAUUUUGCUCUCUCUAAAAACGAUGAUGUCCCUAUUUGGCAACAUUGGCUUCUUAAACGAUAAUAAGAAUAGACAUAAACAUUAAAUUGAUUGAAUAAAAUAAAGGAAAAAAAUAUUAUGCUAGGUUGCACAUAUUAGAAAUAUUAUCUAAAAAUAAAAAAACUUAUUUUAAAAAAUAAAAUUCAUCUAUACAAAAGAUAAAAAAAAAAUUAUAGAUAAAUAAGAAAAACCUCGUAAAAAAUUAAAUGCAUAACAAAAAAAAUCAUCAAUUAAAAGAGGCUCUUUAAACAAAAUAAAAGAAAGAAGAGGUAUUAAUCUAAAUAUAAAUAUUUAAAAAUGUAUAAAAAGAAGCAUUAAUUAAAAAAAAAAAAAGGUCAGGUGCAGUAGCUAACCUGUCUAGCCUUUUUGUUGGGGCUCGCGCGACUAGGCCCUUAUUUGUUUUCGCAUUUAGGGUGGUGUCGCCCCAAAUGUUUUUGAAAAAAUAAAUCAGACGACACGUCGUUUGUUUUUGCCCAGAUUCCAACCAUUGCAGUGACCAAAAAAUCAAGGCUUAGGGUUUUUUACCCAGAAACACAUUUUUCAACAUAUUUUUGACCAAAAACACCUAUAAAACACCUUAAAAACCGUAACAAACCUAUUUAUAGCCUAAAAAACCAAAAAACCAUCUCAAAAAUCAAAAUCAACCCGAGCUCAUAUAUGUUUUUUCAUGAAUUUUAAAGGUAAAAAAAUCUAGUAUGAACUCCCCUCAUCAAAUAGAAUUAUUUGACACAAAUAUCGACCGUUUUAGUGGUCUAAAUUGGUAUUAACGGCAUCUCUCUCUCUACCGCUAGAAUCCAGCGACCUCUCUCUCUCAUCUCUCAACCAGAGACUAAAAGUAACAAAAAUAAAUUUUUAUACCGAAAUUGAAUUGAAAAAAUAUUAAGACACCAAAAUUGUAUAAUUUGUUUUAUUUUUAAAGUGCGAUGACCAAAGUAUAUCUAGAUCUACGGUGUUUUAUUUGUGUAUAAAUAGUGUCGGCUCUACAGCUAAAAUCACAUGCCUUUUUAGAUUUUUACUUCAAUUAGUUUUCUUUCUCCAAUUUGAAGGAUAGUAGAUAGGCAUUUUAUUUGUGUAUGAAUCCAAAAAAUAAAUACUCUAGUUUUGUUAACGAAUCACAUCAUGUGCUAGGACACGGCAACAAUUGCAGGGAAAACUUGAUAAUAAAGGAUGGAUUGAUUUGCUGGAUUUUCUUUUCCUUUUGCCUUUUUAGCAUUCUUUCUAUAACUUGAUAAUAAAUAUCGUUAGGUGGGUGAAUUGGAUGGAAACUCUUGCCCCUCAUUUGAAGGCCCCACUCAAAAUAAUCAUGAUCCUAAUCUUAGUAAGUUGAAUAAUCAUGUGGCUGUUCAAUGAUUGAUUUUUUUUGGGUAAUGCUGAUUUUAAUAUCAUUUUCAUCUAUCAAUUUGAUUAGGUGGGUCCUUGUCGCUGACAUUUUUCUUUGGAUGAUUGGAGACUUUUUUGACCUUCAUCCAUGUAUGUAUGGGUUUUAACCAGCAGUGAGAAAAAUAGUUGACAUUUUUCUGCUUUUGACAUUAAAAAUAUAAAGUUAAAAGGUUUUGGAAUACACUAUUUUUAUAUAUCCACUAACAUUGUGGAUAAUAAUAGUAAUUUAUAGUAUUGGUUUUUUUUUUUAGCAUUUUGACCUUUUUUUCCUUUUAAGUAUUGGUUUUUUUUUUUAAAUUUAUUCCUCAUAUGAUAUGUUUAUAGAGAUUUAGAGUAAAUAAUUUAUUUUAAUUUGUUUUUUAUAUAGUUAUCACAAUACUAAAAAAAUAUCAUAGCAUCGAGUUGGUAUCGGAAAAAAAUUUCAGUAUUACAGUAUGAUCUAUUUUUAAAAAAGUUUAGUGAAACAAAAAAUAAUUUAGAAAAAAAAACUAAGUUAUUAAACUUUGUGGAGUCAAUGACCCUGUUUCCGAGUUUGGCGAGAUAAUCCUGAUUGCCUCGGUUCGCGGGUUUUGUUGGGUACUUUUUUUUUCUAAUUGAACUUGAUUAUAUGAUCAUAUAUAUUUUUUUAUCAUAUAAUUAAAAAAUAGUUUAAAAAAAACAUGUUACUAUAUUUUAGAAAGUCCAUGGGCCUAUUGACGAGUUUAACUUUUCUGUUUUUCUUUUUUAAAAAAAAUUAUUUUUUUUAUUUCAUCCUUUGAUGUUAGGUUGAUUGAGAAUUGAGUUUCAUAAUUUAUUUCGUUUUGCUUUUUAAGAGGUUAUUAUAUUCUUAAAAAAAAAGUCUUAGAAUUGGUUUGAUGCUUAAUUUUGCGAUCAUCUAUUUUUGUUAUCAUAUAGUUAAAUAAACAAUAAUUUAUAUAAAAAAACAAGUUAUUAAUCCCAAUGGAGUCCAUUAUCAGGUUUGCGAGUUUGAAAUGUUGACCCGGGUUACCCGAUUCACGAGUUUAGCCAUCAAGCCUGAUAUUUUUUUUUUUAGAUUUUGGUCCUUUAAUUUUUCUAAUUGUCUUUUUUUUUUAUUUCACUCUUCUUUAAUAUUGGAUUGUUUGGGAAAUGAAAUUCAUGGUUUAUUUUUUUCUACUUUUUAUAAGGUUAUCACGAUCUCAAAUAAAAUGUCUUUUUUAUGGUUACUGCUCAAUUUUUCAAGUAUCUAAUGUUAUCAUAAAAUUAAAUAAAAAUAAUUUAUAAAAACAACAAAUUUAAUAAACUCAUUGAACUUCAUGACCUAGGUUACAAGAUGACCGAGGUCGAUCUCAUCUGGUAUCAUCUCAAUAUUAAAAAAAAAUUAUUGUCUUAAAGUUUUUUUAAAAGAUAUGUCAUGUUUUUAUUGGUCAUCUAAGUUGUAUUUAGACCCAUUAAAUUGAAUGAUUCACUUUGGAUCAACUCUUACGCGAUUUAAUUCAAAACUCGAGUAAGGAAAAGAGUCGAGUUGGCAGGUUUCAAGAUCAAACCGCUUGAUUGGAUUUAAUGAUACUACAAAAAAAUAUCACCAUACUCUUAACAUUUUUUUAUGUUUAGAAAAAGAAUAGUCUGACUCACAGUGAAAUGCAAGCAAAUGUAUUAAAACAAGAAUGUGUGACAUAAGCUCGUAUAUUUACAUUGCUCAUAGUUAGAUUAUUGGGGAAUUACAAAAUUGUCAAGAAGAGUGAUAAAUUGAUAGUUGGAGGCAAGGUUGUCAAAAACGCAUUUUUGACACGACAUGAAAAAUACAAAAUAAACUCGGAUCGUAAAAACGGAUCGUAAAAUCGUAAGGAAUUUUUUCAAGAGAAGCCUAUUGUCCCAAAUUCAAAGAAGAUGAUACAAAUAAAACAAUGUUCUGGAAAGGAAUAAACAUUACCAGCAAUGCUUUCAUAAUCACAAAGACACCAUAACACCAUCCCACGCAAAUUCAAAGAAAAUCAAUACAAACAAAACAAUGUUCUGGAAGGAAACAGACAUUACCAGUAAUGCUUUCAUGGACAGGGACAUUGGUGACCAGUUCCUUCACACUCAAACGUUUGCACAACAACGUUGUAAAAUUCAUAAUGUUCAAUCACCAAAUAGUUAAAAAACCUGCAAAGAAAAAAACAUCGCAUCAAAAGUUUGAACCAUCAAUAACAAAAGACACGCUGAAAUGCAGAGAGAAAAGAGGACACGAAGCAAAGCAAAACCAAGGUUUUUAUUUUUUUUCUUCGAAUACAUAAACCUGUUCAAACUGUCCACAUAGCAAAACAACAACAUUGAGACCUGCCAACAUUACAGGUAACCUCCAUAUGCAAUCUGUGAUUGUUCCUGCACAAACACACUAAUCAGUUCUACCCCAUAGAUUGAUCCCUGAAGCUUUUUCUUCAGAAAUGAAUCCUUUGCUCUUUAAACUUUAAACUGCAUCCUUGAUAAUUUGCUCCAUGGGAAUAAAUUCUAAACCCAAGUCCAUCAGCUUCUUGGCUCCAUUCUUUGCCCUUAACAACCCAGGUUGGGUAUCCUUCAGCAACCUACACCAAUAGGCACAUUAAGGAUCAAGCAGUAAUGAUUCAUACCAUCAAACAACCAGAAAGAAGUUUUAAGAUCUCAAUGAAGCAGGGGUGGCAAUGGACAGAAGUUUGAUCCACAACACAACAACAAGCACAACUUUGUAUGAGAAUAAAGAGCAAGACUAGUUAAAUUUAAUGUUCCCAAAUUCAAAACCCACAAACCACACUUAUCAAGAAAAUCUAAAUUCACCUCAAAUCAGCCUAUAUACUGAUUUUGCGAAAGAAAUUAUCAUAAGAAAAAUUGGUCUCAUUUCACAAGUUCGAUUACCAAACUUUGCUUUUACUGUAAUGACACCUAACCUAGCAAUAAUAAUCUACUACAAUUUGCUCCAAUAAGAGUUCAAACAUUCUGACAGCUUAACCAAUUAUAUAGACCGACCUCCAGAUAUGAGAAUAUUCAAGAAAUUGGUAAAAGCUAAACAAACAGCUGAAAUAUUCUUCUGAUUUGGGGUUUCAAUCUAUAAUCAGUGUUGUCUUUAGGGUUUUUGCUUUCCAGCUAGCAAGCUAAAGCAAAGCUUAACAUAUAUGAGGACAAAGUGAUAGUAUGCUUGCACGGUUUCACCAUUAUCGUCCAGACUUCCAUAAACAAGUGCACUAACAAGAAAAAAAAAAGAACAAAAAUUGGUUGUUGUUUGAGUUUUGCCUAUGCAGAGACAAGACUCGGUGAGUUGUGGAGGCAGAGCAGUAGAGGUGAGUUGUGGAAAAAGAGGCGAGACUGCGAGAACCCUUGAGAUUUGAGAAAGGGGAAAGGGGAAAAGGGAAAGGGGAAAGGGGAGGGUGACGGUGUGUCGGGGAGGGGAGACAGAGUCAGUUUAUUUUUUUCACUCUCUAUCAAACUCGUUAACUCGGUCCGUUUUUACCGAGUUGACCGAGUUUGGUCGAGUUUGACCGAGUUUGACCAUUUUCGAGUUUUUAACUCGAUUUUACAGGUUAUAUGGGAGUUGACUCGUAAAAUCGUACGAUUUUACGAGUCAACUCGCGAUUUUGACAACAAUGGUUGAAGGGUUAGACUUCAGUUUUUAUCUGAAAAAUAACAUUAACUAAAUAAUUAACUCACAUUAAAUAACUGGUUGGGGAAAAAAUUAAACUUAAAAAAAUUUCAAGUUUGUAAAGAAUUUCUAGGCAGUGUCAUUAAAUUUAGCCUAAGUCAAUUUUAAAAUCUCCUGAUCAAACUCAUCUCUUAGUCCAGGUUUUAAAUUAAACCGUAUGAAAGUUGUCCCGGUAUGACUCAAUUGACCUAAUGAGUUUAAAGUGACCCAAAUAACCAGUAAAAAGUGUAAUUUAACUUUUUUUAAAAAUUUCAAGAUAACAUAAUUUUUUUAAAAAAUAUUGAUACGACAAUAUAUUGUAUUGACCUGAGUUUUGCGGCUUAACCCACCAAAACCAUUACUCGGGUUAUGGACUCCACUUUUAAUAAAAAAAAUUUAAACUACUUUUUAUCUAAUUAUAUGAUAACAAAAAUAGAUGUUUGUAAAAUCAACCACUAACUUGAUGUUGGGAAAAAUCAUGGUGUUUGUUUGAGACCAAAAUAAAUUAUGAAGGUCAAUUCAAAAUCAACCAAAAUUUAAAGGAAAAAAUUGAAAAAAAAUCUGUCAAUAAAUAUCCAAUAUUGAAUGAUGACAUUGGGAAAAAUCAAAGGAAAAAAACCAAAAAAUAGGCUAAACAGACUGGCCUAUAUGGUCCAAUACGCCUCUACCUUCUUUAUUUAUUUUUCUUUUUUAUCAUCCACCCUUUGUUUUUUGAAAACAUAUAUAGUAGGCAAUAUGUUGUAUGUUUUUAUAGAUUCUGACCACCACAUGUGGCUGGAAAGUCAAGCUUCUAACUUAUAGGUAAAAAAAAAAAACAAUUUCAAAUAGUUUUCAAUUGAAAACACCUAAGAAACACCCUAGGGAUCUCAAUAAAUCCAUUUUUUUUAAUCUUAAAUUAGCAUUUAAUCAGUUAUAAAUGAAAAAUCAUUUUAAUCCAUUUUUUAAAAUGUGAUCUACUUUUUUUCAACAAAAUAAAUAAAUAAAAAAGAUCUAAAGAGAACUCUCAUUGUCAAAUGGAACCGAUUAACAAAAAUUAGUCAUUCACUAACUCUUUUUUUUGUGUUUUUAGCGACUUUCCCUUUUCUCUCACAAUUACAUGGUCUAAAUAUGAACAAAAUAAAAUUUAGAACAAAACCUCUCAAUUCCCAAACCAAAUAGACCACAAAGAAAAUUAGACAAAAUCCUAAGGCACAAAGGUGCUAACAUGAUUUUUUUAACGGAAGAUCCUUUUUUAUUUUUUUAAUUGUGGUCCCUUGAUUUUUUUAUUUUUCUUAAAUAAUAAAAUUGGAUUCAUUUUCAUGAAAUUGAGUACCAACCUAAUAGCAAGACUUUUUUAAAAUAGAGAUAACAAAAAAAAUUUGAAACAAAUUAUUAACCUUAAAUCUCAAUAAACACAACAUUGAAGCAUCAAAUUGAAAAGAAAAAAUUGAUGAUCAAAGGCAUAAAAAAAAUAAAGAUGACCAAAGUUAAAACCAUAUAUUUUUUUUAAAUGCCUUAUAUUGUUUUUUUCAAUUUUGGUCCCCUCAUUUUUAAUCUCUUGCAAACAAUAAAAUCAAAUAUAUUUUUUUGUGAAACUUGGCACUAACACCAUGUGAGGAUGUUUUUCUAAGAUAGCGCUAAGCAUAUAAAAAGCGAAUCAAAAUAAAUUAUCAAUCCUAAAUCCCAAUCAACACAACAUUGAAUGAUAAAAUUCAAAAAAAUAAUAACAAAAAAAGGUGUAAAAAAAAAAUGAAGCAACAUUGUGUGAAUAUAUGGUGUUUUGCCUUGUAAUCCACAAUGAUUGUAUGAUGCUUUUUCAGUUUUUAACUAGAUGUAGACUUGUACUACACCACAUGGCCAUAUUAUUAUUAUUAUUGCUUAAAAUGAUGUUCAGGUGAUACGAACAUUUUAAAGAAUGGAGAAAAAUGUGUGACACGAGUCAUAGACCCAACUGGGUUAAAUAAAUUGAUUUUAUUUUAAUUAGAUAAUAAAACAAAUAGGCAAUGACAACAGAUGGACCGAAAAACAUUAUCACGAUAACUUGAAGAAAAAACUUUUUCUAAAAAGGUGAAAAACGAUGUAGCUCAUUUAUCAACCAAUUAAAUACAAGAUGAUAAAAUUAGGUGAAAAUAGAACAAAGAAAAUUGACAUAAGUCAACUCAAGUUAGCAUGACAAACCUAUAACCCGGGUAAUAUAGACCAAGUCAACACGGGUUAGCCCGCCAAACUCUUGGCAUAAGUUAUGAGAUUAUGAUAACUUAAUAGAAAAGAAAAUGAAGAAAAUUACAAUGCCUAUUUUUUUUAAGAGGAAAACAAUGUCGAAUGAUGAAAUAAAAAAAAUAAGUAAGAAAAUGUCAACCCACUUUAACUUCUCAAACUCCUGAUCCGGAUCAUUAGAUCAAAAGCACCCUAUCUUAAAAAACCAUGAUGUCUGAUUCCUAACCAAUCAAAUAUUGAAUGAUGAAAUUAUAAAAAAAAAUCAAUUAAACAAAAGAAUCCAAAAUAGAAAAUAGCAAUUAAACAAUGAAGAACUAGAUUGAAAUAAAAAUAAAUUAGAAAACAACUACAAUUUUUUUAUUGAAGGGUGAAAUUGUAAAUAUAAAUCAAUUUAACAAAAGGACCAAAAAACAAUUAAAAGAAUGAGAAUCAAAUUGAAAAAAAAUAGCUUAUCACAAAUUAGGAUUGAAUGAUGAAAUUGAAAACAAAUUAAAAUUUAACAAAAGGGCAAAGAACAAAAAUUAAAAAUCAAAAGAAUACAGACCAAAGUUGAAGUCUCAAUAAAUAAGAGGACAAGUCUGAAAUUUUGAAUGCUCAAUAUGAAUUUCAAGGGGAGGAGGGAGAAAAGAGAAAAAUAGAAAGAAAGCAUUAUUGUUAACAAACCGCCCCCACUACUGCUGCCUUAUGCGGCCCCAAUAAGGAGAAGAUAUCACGAUGACUCAAUAAACACGUAGAAGGAAAUGUUUUGUUAUCGAGAGACGCCGUAUGCGCCGUUAGAACACUAUGGGAACCUCCUAUAUGCUAACCAUGUUUUUUAUUAUUAUAUUUUAUAUUUAUUAAAAUAUCAAAUUACCCCCAAUCAACUUAAUUAUAACUAAUAAACUAGGUUGAGAAUUCAAAAAAGCCCUCAAAUGCUAGUUUUAGAAUUUUUGCUUUUAAAGAUAUUGUAGUUAUUUUACUGCACUUUAAAAAUAUGAAAUGACCAAGUUAUUUCUGAUCAAUUUGAUAAUGACUAGUGAACCUUGUGAAAAGACUGCAUUACCUCUAAUAGUCAGUUUAAAGAUUUUUGGCGGGAAGAGCAAAAUCAUCAUUACAUUGUUAUAAUUAACAAUGUUUUUCCCUCCCAAAUUAGCUUUUGUUAAUUUUAAUUUUAAUUUAAUUAUAAUUUUCCAUAGCAGUAGACUUUUGGCCUAUAACAAGUUAACUCGAUAUUAUUUGUGGCAAAGGAUAAUAAGAUCCUAAGCAAAAAAAUAAAAUAAAAAAGUUCAAUUGAGUCCUUGAUAUUACUCUUUUUUAAUUUUCUACUUUAAAAAUAAUAAAACGAGGACUUAUAUGUCUUAAAAUGGUACUUGUUUUGGCAUGAGUUUUAAUCGUGGACUUAAUUGGAUAACGUAUGAUAGAUAUAAUGAAAUUUAACUUUUAAAGUUAUUCUAAACAUUACACUAUGUAAAUAAAAUGUUAAAAGAUAGUUCUACUCCAUUCAAUCUUGUAAUGACAAAUAAGUUCUGUAAAAAGAUAAUUUUACCUUGUACGGUUUAAAUUGUGAAAGGAGAAAUAAUAAUUUUAUAAUUUUAUUGUGAGGAUCCACAAUAAAUUAUUAUCUAUUAGUAUAACAGCCCGGCCCAACUUGUCAUAUAUUGUCCACUUUGGGCCUUACUGUCCUCAUGGUUUUGUUCAUGGUGACGCGAGCCCACAUCUGAGCCUGACGCCCCAAAACGCGUAUGACAAGUUGGCAACUAGCACUUGCUAUAUAUUGUCUGCUUUGGGCUUUACCGCCCUCACGGUUUUGUUCCUGGCGACGCGAACCCACAUAUGAGCCUGACGUCCCAAAAAGCGUAUGACAAGUUGGCAACCAGCACUCAUAAUAAGACCAACUACCACUCCCUCACCCGCCGAUGUGGGAUAUUACAAUCCACACACCUUAAGGAGCCUGACGACCCCGUCGGCACAACCGGACAAACAGUGAGGUCGGUUCUGAUACCAAAUGUGACAGCCCCGCCCAACUUGCCAUAUAUUGUUCGCUUUGGGCCUUACCGCCCUCACAGUUUUGUUCCUGAUGAUGCGAGUCCACAUCUGAGCUUGACGUCCCAAAACACGUAUGACAUGUUGGCAACCAGCACUAUUAAUAAGGCCAGCUACCACUCCUUCACCUGCCGAUGUGGGAUAUUACAAUUAGUGUGUGUAAUGUAUUCUUGAUUAAUUUUUUUAGCUUUUGCUUUAAUGGGUUUAAGUUUUAAAGUUUCAUUUAAAAGUCUCCCAAUCAUGCAAUUUGAAAUUCCUACAAUUCAAAUUGUUAGAUUAAUUUAAUUUCAGCAUGAAUUUAUCCCGUUAGGAAUAUAUUGGUUGGGACUUUGAUAUGCUUUGAUAUUACCAUGAUGUUACAUGGAAUCAAAGAUUUCUAAACACAUUUUUUCUUUCCCUCUCAUUAAUUAUAACUUAUAAGUGAAUGGUUAAAAAUACCAGUUUCAUAAAAACAAAAUGAUAAAAAGAAUUGAAAAGAGAUUAUGCAAGAAGGUCCUCUUGUCCUAUAUGCCAAAGAUUUUAUGAUGUUUUAUCAAAAUAUGAAACAUAGAUUAUAUUGGAAAGUUAGGGGUAAAUAUUUUCAGUUCAGUUCGGUUUUUACUUAAAAAAAAUAACCAAAUUAAAAUUUAAAACAAAAAUAAAAAGACUCAGGAUCGGCUCAUGAAAGAAAGCAGGAACUUAUGGAGGCCAUUGAACGUUGGAAUAUAAUGAAAAUUCCAACUUGAUUCAAUGUUGUUGGAACCGGUUUGGCUCGGUCUAAUUCAAUUAGUUUUAAACUCUUAAAUCAAAACCAAACCAACAUAAUUUUUUUGUUUUUCUAAUAUUUAAUUCAGGUUUUUUAGUUAAUUUUUAUUUUAUUUUAUUAAUUUUUCGGUUUUUUUCUCCCCUCUAAAGAAAGUAAUAGAACAUAAUGAAAUUACCAUGAUGCAAGUCUUGGUCGGUCCAUUGAACGUGCACAAUACCUACCAAUACCAUCUCACCUGUUAGCGAACAGUAGCUGUCAAUGUCCAAUAAAUAAUGAAUAGUUUAUCCAUUUGAUAAGGCAUUCAUGAAAUUUAUGGCAGUGUCUUCUGAAAUCGAGACAAGAAACAAGUCAAUGGGACCCCUUCAAGCUCAAGCAUGGUGGCCUCUGAGUUCUUCAUGCUCCACGUAGUUCAACACUUUGUAUUCUAGUUACAAAACUGUAUUAUUAUAUUUCGCCAGCUUUGAUUAAAUAAUCAAGUGAAUUCACAUUAAUAUAUCUGUUUUGUAAUCAACUGCAAGUUAUUUUUUUAAGUUUAUAUAUAUAUAUAUAUAUAUAUAUAUCAACACAUCAAAACUAUUAAAAGAUACUUAAAAAACAUUAAUUUAAUUAUUUUUAAAAUAAAAAAAAUCUAAAAAACACUUUAAAAAACAGGUUGAACCACAUUAUCAAAUACAUCAUUUUCGGAUAUGUUUGGAAUUGUGGUUGUGAUUCAAAAUGUUUUGCGCUUAGAAACGCAUCAAAAUGAUGUUUUUUUAAAAAAAAAAAUUAUUUUUAAAAUCAGCACAUCAAAACGAUCUGAAAACAUAAAAAAUUUAAUUCUUAAUAAAAAAAAUUAAAUUUUUUAAAAACACGGGUUGGAUCUCGUUUCCAAAUGAUCCAUUCAUGGUUGUUCCGAGUAAUUAGCUUUUCAUUAGUACAACGUAAAAUCAAAACUUCUUUUAAAUUGUAGGGGUAACAUUGAAAACAUUUAAAAUAUAAGGGUAGAAGUGAAACAUUUAUGAAUCUCUAGGAGCAGUAUUGAAAUUUACCCUUGUUUUUCUACUGGGGAAACCUCAAUUUAGUCCUCAUAUUUACUUCAACGUCAAUUGAGCCCCAAUCCUUAUGAUUUUGUUAAGUUUACCCCAAGCACAAUUUUAACAUCAAAUCAUUAUAAAUUUUACUUUAUACAAACCAGUUAUUCUCCAAAACAUGAAAGCAAAAGAAAAGAUCAAAGACUAAAACCAGAAUCAAUGAAAUCAGCCAAGAGGAAACAGACCUAAAAGCAUUGUUAUUAAAAUAUAUUUAUGCUUCAUACCUUGCAAGAUAUAUUUAUACUAUAGUACAUACAAGUAUCCAAAGUCAUCUUUUAUUUCUUUUAAUAUAAAUGUUUUAAUAUAAGAGUAAGAGAAAUAAAAUAUAAAAUCUAGAAAAUUUUCUAUGAAAUACCAUACAAAAAGUAACAAUCUUUUAAGGGAACGGGUAUAAUAAAAUUCAAAAAAUUCUUCUAAUGUGUAUUCCCACAUAAAUGAUCCUUUUUAUUUGACCUACAAAAACAAAAAAUAAUUAAUUAUAAUAAAUUAAUAAACCCGGCAUAACUCGGGUGAGACCCGACCUUUUUUUUAUAUAUUUUUUAAUAAACCCAAAAAAUGUAAAGUUAAUGUGUGAAUACUUUAACUUUUUCAUGUGGGAUAACUAUAUUUAUAGUCUAUAUCCUCAUAGAAUAUUUCUUAACCUACACUCACAUGAGAUAACAUACACUCACAUGAAAUGUUUCAGAUAGCUAUAUAUAGCCUAAAACCACAUGAAAUGUUUCUUAACUUUUUUAUAUGAGAUAGCUAUAUAUAGCCUAAAACCACAUGAAAUGUUUCUUUUCCAUGUGGAAUAUUAAAACCUCAAAAUAUUUUUUAAAUUUUUUACCGGGUUGACCCGUUUUGACCCGGGUAACUCGUAUGACCUGGACCCGGCCCCUUGGUCGGGUCAACCCUCAGGCCAGGUUUAAUAACUAUGGUGUACACACUGUCAUUUUAAUGUGGAUUUACACAAUGAAAUGAUCAUUUUGUUAUUUUUAAACAAAAUCAUUUAACUUGCUAUUGGAGGUAAAACAGUCUUUUUCAUGGGAUCCAUCUAUCAAUGUCAUAUUGAUUUGGGAGGUCCUGAUCUUUUUACAUUUUAGGUGCAUAUUAAAAUGACUUAAAUACCAUUAAAAGCAAAAAAUAAAUAAAACUGGGGACAUGGAGCUUUUUGAUUUUUUAAUAUUUUGAUUGCACAAUGAAAUGACUAUAUUUUUCUUAAAAGAAAAAAAAACUGAUAUAAAAAAGUAUUUUAGUCGCUUCAUUAUGGUUUUUAAGUCAUUAUCAAUUUUAAUAAGGGGCAUUUUAGUCUUUUAACAAAUAUAAAUAUAAUAAAAAAUUAAAAGAUGGUAAGCGCGUGCCACGUACACACUAGAGAGAGAAGGGCACUAAUGCCUUUUGAAUUGUGUCUGGCACCUCCUAGCGAUCAAAUGCCGCUAAUAUUUUUCUUUUCCUCCCUCCUCUUUCUCCUCGUCUUAGAUUUCACGCCAACCAUUUCAAAUAUCAAACAUGUCUUGUUAGUUUGUAUUUAUAUCAAUUUUGGUCUUCAUUCUUUUGAUUGCUAUUUGUUUUGUUUUUACGGCUUUUUGAAGUUGAUUUUUUAUUUAUUUUGUCCCCCAAUAUUUUACUUCAUUUAAUUUUUGUAUCUAAUUUGGUCUUUAUUCUUAUGAUUACUAUUUUGUUUUUGUUUUUAAUCCUUUUCUUGAUUUGUUUUUUUAAUUUUAUCCCUUAACAUUUUAUUUCAUUUAAUUUUUGUAUCUUAUUUGUAUCUUAUUUUUUUUAUUGCUAUUUUUUGUUUCUAAUCGUUUUCUUGAUUUAAUUUUUUUUUCAAUUUUGUUUCUCAACAUUAUAUUUCAUUUAAAUCUUGUAUUGAACUUGGUACUCAUUUUUUUUAUUGCUAUUUGUUUUUUUUUUAAUGGAUGAUUAGGAUUUAGGAAUUUUGCUUCAUAAUUUUUUUUGUGUUUGCCUUCUAAAGGGCAAUUAUGGUCUCAUGACAUAGGUCACGGAUUUUAAAAAUUAGCCCGGUUUAACUUCGGUCUUUUUUAGGCCAUUGAUUGCUUUUAUGUGGGGUUAUCCCGAUCUUAGAUUUUAGAUCAUAAGUUGGUCGAGUUAACCCGAGUUGACCCAAGUUUUUUUUUUCAUUUUUUAAAUUGAUUUUUUUAGAUUAGUCUUUCAUCAUUUAGUUUGCUUAAGAGUUGACCUUCAUCGUUUUAUUCAAUUUUUUAUGUGUGAGUUUAUCCAUAUCUCAUGACCAGGUCGUGAAUUUGGUAUGCUGACACGGUUUUUUUUAUCCUUUUUAAAAUUGAUUUUCUUUCUAGAUCGUCCUUAAAUGUUUGCUUUGCUGAUAAUUGAGCUUCAUAUUUCUUUUAUUUUUUUAUGAGGUUAUCCCGUUCUCAUUCGAUUUUGUUUUGUUAUCAAAUAAGAUCGUUAAGACUUUUUAAUAAUAUUUAGAAGGUCUAUUUUUGUAAUAUUUAUAAGCAUUUAUUUUUUUAUUAGUCAUUAUCAUUUUUUAUUGUUAUUUGAUUUUUUUAAUAAUCAAAUUAUUAAAUUAAGAAACUUUAUUGAAUCCAUUCAAAUCAUUGAUCUGUCUCAAAUUUUUCUUUCUCUUUUAAAAACACUAUCAUUGUCUGGACAUUUUUUUUUAACAAUAGAAAACAUUUUGUUAGGCCCGCGUCACAGGGUGGGCUACGUUUCCUAUUUUCUUAAGAGAUAUUCAUAAAAGAAGGGUAGUAUUUGGAAUUUGAUGUUAGUUUAUGUAAAGUUUUUGUUUUUUUUAAUAUAUAUAUUGGGAAUGUAGUUUACAGGAAGUUGUAAAUGUAUCGAUGCUGAGGCUAUUUAUCCUAAACCAAAGCAUAUUUGUUUUACAUGUAAGGCUCCGUUUGUUUGCAGGAAAGUUGUUUCCUUUUGGAAAGUGAAUUCCGGGGAAAGUGAAUUCCGAGAAAGUAUUUUCCGAUGUUUGGUAGUGUUAUGGAAAAUGAACUGGAAAACACUUUCCAGUGUUUGGUUAUGUUAUGGAAAAUGAACUGGAAAAUAAUUUAUUAAUGAAUUAAUUUUUUUUCAAGUUUAUCUAAUAUAUAUUAAAUAUUUAAUAUAAAUAUUUAAUCACUUACAAUAAAAGAAUGAAAUCUAAAAAGUAUAAUGAUGAAUUUUUUUAUUAUAUCUUAUAUUCAUACAUAGCUUAUUUUAUAAAAUAUAACUAUAUAUGUCAUAUCAUAUUAUAGAGAAAUAAGCUUGUGAAAUAUUUUUUAAGUUAAAUAUAUUUUUUUUCAAUUUUAAAAGCUUAAAAUAAGUUUUUUUUUUUAUAUGAAGAAAGCCAAAUUAGUUUAUGGUAAGAGUUAUAUAUUACAUUAGAUUAACAACUAUUUUAAUUUUAAUUUUUCGUCACUGGGAACCAAUUAAAUUUAAUUUAGAAACAAAAAUGUCUUGUAAUUACAAUAAAAUGAUUUAUAAAAUCCUUAUGUUUGGAUGCUGGGCCACCCACCCCCCUAAAAAAACGUUCACAUGUUUGUUCACAUGUUUUGUGAACAAAAGAAAGGAAAAUGUUUUCCUUAAAAUAAGGAAAGGAAAACACUUUCCUGGCUUAAAGUGUAUUAUCUUCCUUUGACCGGAAUUUGAAUUCCUUUGACUAGUUUUCCUUAUAGUUGUCAAACAUUGGAAAGUGGGGAAAAUGGUUUCCAGGAAAAUGAAUUCCUGGAAACAAACAAGGCAUAAGGUUGAAGUGUGAUUAUAAACCCUUUUGAUUUGUACUAGAUUUUUUUUACCUGCGCUACGUUGUGGGAUGGGUUUAUUUUUUUAAUAUAAAAAAGAUAUUCAAAUAAUGAUAACAUGAGUGAAUUCAGAUUAACUUAACUAACCUGCGAUUCAAGUUAACCCUAGAGAAAUGAAAGGGAAAAAAUAGAAAGCUCAAGGCCUAAUAAAUCUAAUUUCAAAGGAUAAAAUUAAAAAAAAAGAAACAUGAAAGAAAAAAAACCCGAGUUAACCCAACUUUACUCUAUUAACCUACCACCCAUGACAUGAGAUUGGGAUAAGAAAUUUAAUUUUUUAAAAAUGACUUAGAAAAAAGGAUCAAAGCUAAAUAAAUAAAAAAACAUUGAAGAAAAACCAAGUCACCCUAGGUUAACCUAACAAACCUGUAACUUGAGAUAACCCUAUAGAAAGAAAUAAUAUAUAAAAUCAAAACCUAAUAGCCCUGCGUAAAAGGAUGAAAAAAAAAGAAAAAAAAAUCCAAUGCAACUUGUGUUAACUUAACUAACCCAUGACUCAGGAUAACCCUAGAUAAGGAAAGGAAAAAAAAAUAGAAAGCUCAAGACUCAAUACCCUAAAGUCAAAGGAUGAAAUUAAAAAAAUAAAACAAAUCAAAGUUAAAAUCAGGCUAAUCUUUAAAACCAUCAACUCUUGUCAUGAGACCAAGAUAACCUUACAAAAGACAAACAAAACUCUUCACCAUAAUAUUUUUUUUUAAAAAAUAGUAAUACAAUUAAUGAGGACCUAAUUUGAUCUAAAAACUAAUGAAAGAAAAUAAUAAGGGACUUAAUAAAAAAAUAAAAGGAUAAAAAAAUUUAAAAGAAUUAGGGCUAAAACUAGAUAAAAAAUGAAAUAAAAUGUUGAAGGACAAAUUGACAGAAAAAACAAAUUAAGAAAAGGAUAAAAAAAAAGCAAUUAUAAGAAUAAAGACCAAAAUUUGAUUAAAAAAAUAAAAUGUUAAGGGAAUAAUUGAAAGAAAAAAAGAAACUAAGAAAAAGGAUAAAAAAAAAGCAAUUAAAAGAAUGAGGAAUCAAUUUGAAAAAAAAAAGUGAAAUAAAAUGUUAAGGGACAAAAUUAAAAGAAAACAAAACAGGCCAUGAUAUGGAAAAAAAAUAGUAAAGAGAAUGAGUACUAUAUUUGAUAUAAAAACAAAACAAAAUCAAAUGAAAAAAGGAUGAAAUUGAAAAAAAAUCUAAAAAAAAAUCUAAAACAAUGAAAGACCAAUCAAAAGAAAGAGGAUUAUAAUUGAAAGACAAAAUGUAUUAGAGGACAACUUUGAUUUUUGGCUGACGUAGCACAAAUUUCAAGAAUUGAAAAGAGAAAACAAGGGGACGAAAAGAAAAGUCAACUGUCGACAAACCACCAUGAUUUGAGCAACACGCGCUACCCCAUAAGCUUUGCCUCCACCGGACACUUUAGACAAAAUCUUGGUUGGGAAAUUUUGGUCACUGCUUGACGAGCGCAGAUAGCGUCCACUCCCUAACACGCGUUGUUCACGGGCUAGUAGCCUUUUUUAAUUUAUGAAAAUAAUAAUUUGCCCUAAUCCAAAUAGAGUAUAAGAAAAACUAUAAUAAAAAUAGUAAAAUAUCCUUUGACCAUCUUUUUAUUUUAUUUUUACUUUGAAGUCGAUGAGGUAAUUGUACUAUUUGUAAAAAAAAAGAAAUUAUACAAAAGCUUUCUUAGCCUUUCAUAUUUUUUUUUUGUCUUUUAAAGGCAUUUAUUUAAUUCAAUUAUACUAAAACAAUGUAAACUACUAAACUUUCCCCAAUAAAAUUGCAAAUGAUCUUUGGGUUUUAUGGAAAAUACCAUUCUAGCACCACAAGUAAGGCAAAAACUUUAUACAAAGAAGGGCAAAAUAGUAAUUAUGCUGUCCAAGUCCAUAGUGAAUUACCUCAACAUCCACAACGAAACAAUGAUCAGUUUUAGAGUUUUUUUUUUAUAAUAUUUAUAAGAUAAUAUAUUUUAUGGCCUCACAUAGAAUUCAAAUGCUUAAUGAUAACUCAAAGAAAAAACUCAUUUGUCGACAAACUAAGCCUGCAAUAUUGUAAUUCUUUUGUUUCCUAAAUUAAGUGUAAAAGAUAAUUUUGUCCGUGAUCUAUUACACCACUUUAAAUAUGAUCCUUAAAAACAAAAAAAAAAUCCUACCAGGUCCCUCAUCUAUAGGAUAUUUACUUAUCAAUUCUCAAUUUAAUUUUUCCCCUUUAAAAUCAUAAAAAAAACUUAGUCAUUUUUUUCAAUGCAAUUGGAGCAAAUGAUCUCUUUUUUUCAUCUCUAUUUUUUUCUAGCGACUAUCUCUCAUCUCUCAUACAUAGAGACUAAAAUGUUGAAAAAAAAUAUCAAAGGACUAAAUCAAGUCGACAUUUGUUUGACAACGCAAUAACUCAAUGGUAAUCAAAUUGAUACAAAUUAUGAAACCUGGUCUAUAAUAAACACAAUGUCAAAAGAUUAAAUAAAAAAAUAAAAAAAAAAAUGAAAUCAAGAGCCACUCUAGAUUCCUUCUUAAUGUUUGCCCUUCAUGGUAUGUUGUUCUCACUAAAAUGGAUUUUAUGAAAUUUAUUAUGUUUUGCCUUAUAAAUGCAUGAAUUGAAGUUUAAUAAUCACAUUAAAACCUUACACACGAAAAACAACUUACCUGUAAUAAUAAUGGUAUCAGAAACUCUUUUGGUAAGCGAAUGGUUAUGGAUGUUAAGUCAUGACUUCGUCAUAGUAGAGCACCCUGUAGCUUUUUAAAAGAAAAAAACAAGGGACCUGUAAUGUUUAUGUUUGUUUGUUGCUGUGUCUAACAUAUACCACCAAUCGAUCUUGAAUCUGUGUUUAUAAUCACAGCUGAAAUUAUGUUUUUUUUUAAUUUUCUAUUUUUUUUAAUUUUUUUAUGUUUUUGAAUUGUUUUGAUGUACUGAUAUCAAAAAUAAUUUUUAAAAAAUAAAAAAUAUAUUAUUUUGAUAUAUUUCUGAGUAAAAACAUUUUAAUAAACAACCACUAAUAAACUUUCAAAUAUCAUCUUAACCAUACAUUUGAAUGGUCAUUCAAUAUUUCUAGUGUUCUUACUUAUUGGUGAAUUGAUGAUGCACAUGUUAUCAUCAAUAUUUGUAAUUUCAAAAUCACUUAUGUUGCUUCUACAAAAAAACCAAAAAACUAAUAAGGUUUUUUUUUAUCAUAAUUUUUUUUUCUUAUUUAGACUAUUUAUGAUAAGUGUUUUUUUAUUCAUUUUACGCUUUAAUUAAGAUUAAAAAUUUCUUUUAAACAAUUUUAAAGAUGCACUUCCAAUAUCCUGAUUACUAAAACAUAAAUCAAUCUUAAAAAAUAAUUUUUUAGCAUGCAUAAAAUGUAACUCAUUAAUUGUUUUUUCAAUUUUGAUUUAGUAUUGAAUAAGAAAACUUAAAAAGAUAUUUAUUAUACUAUAUUAAUUAAGUUUUUUUGUCAUGCUUCAUAACCCAUUUUUUACCCCCAGUUUUUUUCAUGUAUUUUCAAAUAUAUAAUUUUUUUAAAGAAUUUAUUUUAAAUGAAAUUUAGUCAAUUCCCAACGUUUUAUAUUUUUUUCAUUUUCAUUUAUUUUAUUUUAAGUGACAAAGAAAAAUAAAAAACUUAAAAACAAUAUAUAGUAAAAAGAAAAAUAAAAAAUUUAGGGAGUGAAAUCACAUGCAAAGGAAGAAAAAUGAAAGACUAGCAAAUGAAAAAUAAUAAUAAAUAAAUAGAGAAUCAAGAUGGGAUUGGAAAAACUGUAAAAAACAAAAAAAACCUAAUUCAAUAAGGAGAUAAAAUAGAAUCUUCCAAUAUUAUUAUUUUUUUUUGACAAAAACCCUUAACAAUAUAAAUAAACAUAAAAAAAAACCUAGAUGGAGAAAAAAAAAGAAGAAAAAACAUAAAAGGAGUCAACUUUAGAAACACAUAGACUAAGAGAGAGAUAAAAAAAGAGGAGAAAAGAUACAAAAAAGGGACAAAGAAAACCUUGCCACAUCUUUUUCAUCUUCUCUCCUCUCUCAAUCACAACUGCGAACCAUUGUUCUUUUCUCCCUCUUCACCACCAAUACCUCCACAAACAUCGACCAUGAUAGUUUCUCCCUCCACCACAUCUUUAUCUCUCUACCCGAUCACAAAACAUCCUUGUUAUUAACUAUAACCUUGGAAAUCAUAGCCACCACAUUAACUAAAAUCGCACUUAUCUCUCUUAUCAUUAUAAAACACUCCAUGGUAGCAACCCUUUGGCAUUCAAUAACCAUGAUCAUAACCAAUAAAGAGAAAAUUGACAAAUAAAAUUUAUCUUUUCAUGUCAACCUCCCUUUUCAGAUCACGACAAGCUUUAUCAUCAACGUAGAAAGGAAAAGAAGGAGCAUGAGAACUUGAUCUAGUAGGUUUAAGGUUUUCAACCUUGUCAUUUUGUACAGUUUAUGUGUUACUUCGUUUACAUGCUUGUCUAGCUCCUGCACAUGACUCCCAUCUGCCACGACUACCCGUUUUUUUAGUAUCUUUUGUUCGAUUCCAAUCGCUCUUGAAGGUCAAAUACGAAUCCUAAUACAUUGAUUCACUUGUUUUUAUCAAUUUGCAAUAUGUGGUUGAUUUCCUAUUCGUAGAUGUUGUAUUUGCCUACAAUGAUUUGCUUGUGUUGAGUAAUUUAUAAUACGAGGUUGAUUUUCUAUGUGUGGAUGUAUUUGUUUUUUUUAUUGUGAGAUUUGUGCUUUAAUUUUCUUAAAAUGAAAAGUUAUGUUUUAUUUUUAUUGAAGAAUUGACCUUGAGUAUGGUAAAAUGGUUUUGUCUUCAUAUGACCAUUUAAGUAUGGUAAAAUGGUUUUUAUUGAAGAAUUGACCUUGAGUAUGGUAAAAUGGUUUUUAUUGAAGAAUUUGCACAUCCAUUAAUUAGUCUUACUUUCAAACCCGAUGGUUUUUAUUGAAGAAUUUGCACAUCCAUUAAUUAGUCUUACUUUCAAACCCGAGUUAUGUUUUUUUCUUCAUAACCUUUUCAAUUAUGGACUGAAAAAAUAGAUUUUAAAAUCAAUUUAGGGGAUUUUUUUAUAAGGUUUUGGAAAAGAUAAGAAUAAUUGAUUUAUAACUUGCAAUUUAGGCAAAAUCACAUCACAAGUAAAGAGAAAAUGAAUCGAUUGAAUAUGCAAGACUAGGCUUUAGUUUUUAUGAUAUUUUGUGUUCUUAGAUAGGAGAGAAGAAAGAGAUUAUAUUUUUAAAUUAAUUUGGGAUUUUUUAGGAGCAUAUUUUGGCUAUUUAUGUUAUAUUAUAUAGGAGGGUAGGUUUGGGUUGUUUAUGUUCACAAGUGCCUUUUAAAAAUAUUUUGCUUGUUGGUUUUUUUUUUUGCCCCUUUAGUCUGAUAGUUCUAUGUUUUGAUAUAAAACUUUAUUUAAUUCACAUUCCAAUUCCCGGGUUUGAAAAAUGAGAUUUAUUGGAAAAUUAUGGAGAGAGAAAGUAAUGGAAUGGUGAGAUUUCGUUGAUAAAAGGUUAAAUUUGGUGUCAAUGUGUUUUUCUUGGCAUAAGAAGUGUUAUUGAGGUAUUUUUGAGCUUUUAUGUUGUUAGAAAAAAUAGAUCGAGGUUAAGAGAAUUUUUUUUUUUAUGCUUUUGAGUUAAUUUAGAGGUUUUUAAGUUGAUAAAUAAAUUUAUCGUGAUUUAAAGGGUAUUUUUGGAAGUAAAAAAAUUGAAAUUUAAUUUUUUAAGUCCUAAAAAUCCUAGCUUGAUUUUCCACCAUCUCUCUAAUGGGUGAAAUUUGAACUCACAAAUAACACAUCAUCUACUUUCUUUUUUAACUCAUUAAAAAAGUCUAAAGGCAUGAACAUGGCCUACUUUUAGGUUUCUUUUUAAUUUCUUUUUAAUUGAAAUUUAAUUUUUGUAAUAUUAAAUAAUUUAAAAUAUUUUAGAUAUUAUUUUAUUAAAUGCCUUUAAAUUUUUACCUUGUUUCUGAAAAAAUAUAUCAGUCUUUUUAUAACAUUAAGAAAUGUUUUUUUUACAACUUAUAAUGAUUUUUUAUAAUUUUAUUUGGUUUCUUUUCCAUGUGCAUGUAUUUUUGCCAUCAUAUAAUUAAAUAAAACGAUAAUUUUUAAAAAAUAAAGUUAUUAAAAUCAAUAAGAUGUGUGAGCUUGAAUCAUGAUUUUAGUGAGUUAACUCAAGUCAAUCCAAGAUGUUUUCAUCUCAAUAUUUUUUAAAAAAAUGUCAUCUUUAAUUAAUUUUAAACAAAAUUAAUUUUUUAUUAGUUACCGAGAUUACCUUUGAACCCUUUAGAUUGAGCAGAUCAUAUCAAAUUAAUUUUCACAUGGUUUAAUUUAAAAUUUAGAUAAAAAUUUAAAUUAAAGGUUUUAAAAAUUACUUAACCCUAUUAAAGAAUCCACUAUAACAAUACAAGAACAUUGUUUUUCCAGCUGUGAUGUCUUUUAGUAAGGAAACGUUUCAGAAUGUAAAUGAUAUUUUUUAAAAAAUUAAUUUUUUUUUGUUUAAAUUUAAUUUUUUUAUAUUUUAUUUUUUUUUGAAAUUUUAAUAUUAAAAAUAACUUAAAAAUUAAAAAAUAUUUAAUUUAUUUUUAAACAAAAUUAUUUUUAAAAAAACCACCACUAAUAUAAUCUUAAAUAUUAUAAAAAAUGCAAAAACAAUAUAAAACACAUUGUAUCCAGAAAGAAAAUAAGAAGACGACUCGCACGCGCACACUGAGAGAGUCAGAUAUUUACCUGCAAAAACAGAAUGAUGAACAAAAAAACCCAUUUUUGAUAAGCUAAGAAAGAAUUCAAAUCUCGCUCUCGUUGGGUUUUAAAUCUCAUUUUCGGAGCCAAAUCCAUUUCUAAAACUUUUUCUUUCUUUUGUUGGCUAAUGUAGGUUGCCUUCUGUUAAUGUUGAGGUUUUGUUUUGUCUAGUUUGGUAUCAUAAUUCUCUUAUGAAUCAGUUUCCCAUGGAAUUCCAUUGAUUUGAUUUAUUAGAACAGAUAGGUAAGAAUUGAAUUCCCUUUCGUUAUUUGAAAGGAUAAAUGGGUAUUAGUGCAUUUGGGAUUUGAUUGAAAUUUAAAAACUGGGUUUUGUUUUCAGGAGUAAUUGCUGGUGGGUUUUGCGACUUAGACCCUGAUUUUGAGGAAACAGGGGGUUUCUUUCUUUUGGUUUGGCAUUGCAUAAGGAGAGGGGAAGUAGAGUUGUAGGUAUUAAAAAUCAGGAGAGAAGUGGGUUUUGGCUUUUGACAGAGAAUGAUUUGUAUAGGAGAAAAGGUGACAUGAGAAGUAGAGUUAUUGUUGGUCCAGAGGUACAAUGAAUGGAGGGUCAUUCGGUCAAAGGGGGAGUUAUGGAUCAUUGCCUUGCUACGGAAAAUUAUCAAAUAUUGCACGAAAACAAUCUUCGAAAAUGCCGCCAGUGAGUUCAAGGGACAAGGAGCGGGUUCUCCUGGUUGUUUGCCGGUGCUUGGGGCGUAGAAGAGUUGCAAUGUUGCUCUUGGUUGCACUUGCUCUCCUAGUUUUCAUCUGGGGUUCCCUUACAGUUAGCAAAGGUAUGGUUCAAACAUGUGUCCUUUCCUAUGAUGUAAAAUGUUUGAGUGUUUUAUGUAUUCUUUUGUUCUACCUGUCCUUAUAUUUUGGUACUGUUGCACUGAGUUACAGGAGGAUGAAAGUUUUCUAAUUACAAGGAAAUAAUCACUUAACAAAGGAAUAGUUUAGGCACCUAUUUAUUAGUUCAUGCUGACUAUUCUAUAUUUAACAGAAAAGAUAAAAUGUAGUAGUGUUUUAAUUCUAUGAGCAUCUUUUAAUUUUUCCUGUUGUUUGAAUGGAAAUGUUUAAGUCAUGUAUUAUUCAUGUCUUGAGAGCAGCUGUAGCAUGCAGUGAGGAGGGGGGGUGGGGAACAAGAAAUAAAGAGGUGGAGGUGGUUCUUCAUGAAUUUUGGUUCCCAUAUAGGUGUGGGCCAUGAUUGAAUAAUGGCCUUGUUUCUAUUAGUUCUCAUUCUGUGCUAAAUCCUUGACAGGAAAGCUGACAGCCAGAGAGUCUUCUUCUUUCUCUCUCUCUAUUUUCAAUCUUGAAUGGAAAGCAUACGAAGACAAAGUUGUCUUCUUGAAUUUAAAACAGGAGAUAAUCAAUCGAUUACAAAUAUUGAUCAGAAUGAAAGAUUCUGUUAUCAAGUUAUUUUUCUGCAUUUAAUUGAUGAUGUCAAAGUCCUGAAAUACUUGGGAUUUUUACUGCUAUUUGUUUUGCUUUAGACUGGUUGAGGCAAUAACUAAUGUGCAUUUUGUGUUAUGGAUGCCCCAGAAACCACAAGUCCAACUGUUAGACCAAUGGAUAGUAUACAUUUUGACAACAGUGAUAUAAUAAGCCAUCCUUCUGUUGCCUGUCGUUCUAGAGCUAAUAGCAUAUUGGACCAUCCAUGCCACAAGUUUGCUCUCCCUCCUCCCCCUCCUUCUGGUGGACGACGGUUUGGACCACGCCGUAAGUUUUGGGUUAUUUUGGUUGAAGUGUUCCUUAUUUUCUUGUUUUUCUGAUCAUUCUAUUAAUAUAUUGGAUUGGACCAUAAGUUUGAGUUGCUACAUCUGUGCGUCAUUUGGAAGUAAAAAAUGACUUCUGGCCUGAAUGUUACUAAAAGUCAUGUAUAUAAUUUUUCUUGCACCAAGAAUGUGCUCUCACAUUUCUGUAACAGAGAAAACUGGCAUGUUUUUGCAAUUAAUGUUAUUAUCUUUCUCAUCAGUGUUUGCUACAGAAGACCUCUUGCAUGUUCAAUUGUAAAUUGAUACAAAAUAACCCUCAAUACCUUUGUAUAAAGUAUGCCAAAAUCUACUCUCUUAGUUGAAGCAAAAAAGUGCUCACAUGCAAUUUAUUUCUGUUGGUGUGGUAUUUACUUUGUUGUCACUCAUUUGUUAUGCAGCUUGUCCAGUAUGUUACAUUUCUGCAGAGCAAGCUAGAGCUAGCAUUCCAUGCUCCUCAUCUGCAUCACCAGUGCUCCGCAACUUAACAUACGUUGUUGAUGAAAACCCAAUUAAAAUUGAAUCACAUGGAGGUUCAGAAUUUGGUGGAUAUCCUUCUCUAAAGCAGAGGAAUGAAUCUUUUGAUAUACAAGAGUCGAUGACAGUGCACUGUGGGUAGGAGUCCUUCUCACCUAUCAUCUUUCUGUAAAAUUAUAAGCAUUGAAGACUGUUUUGCAUGGAUCUCAUGAUCUCUGUCCUCCGUUAUUAUACAAUGUCCUGUAACAAAUACGAAUAACUUAUUUCUUAUAAACACAUAUUUUUCUGUUGGCCGUAUUUUUUAUCAGAUUUGUUAAAGGAAAUAGACCUGGCCGCCAGACUGGAUUUGAUAUUGAUGAAGCUGACCUGAUGAAAUUGGAAGAGUUUCACGAGGUCAUUGUUGCAUCAGCCAUAUUUGGUACUGUUUAGCACUGGACAUUCUGCAAAGAUUUCUUGUUUUAUCCAUGUUUUCUACUUUCCUCAUCAUUGCACUUUCCCAGGGAACUAUGACAUAAUACAACAGCCCAAGAACGUUAGUGAAGCAGCUAGGAAAAAUGUUCCUUUUUAUAUGUUUAUUGACGAAGAGACAGAAACAUAUUUGAAGAAUUCCAGCGCCCUAGAUAGCAAUAUGAGGAUCGGACUGUGGAGGAUUAUUGUCGUCCAUAACAUCCCCUACACUGAUGCAAGACGCAAUGGAAAGGUCAGUUUGCAUUUGUUUGGUUGCUUUGCCUGCUUCUUUCAGAUUUCUCUCUUUAAUUUCCUUGGGCAUCCAAACCUGGGCUGGAUUACAUCACUUUCUUCUUAAUUUUUUUUCUUCCCCUUGUUCUCCUGCUUCUCUGUUAACUCAUUGAAAACAAAGCUAUCAGUUUGUUAACAAAUUUCUGUUUAUCUCUUGGUGAGUCUUCAAGUAAUUUCAAUUUUGGUGCUAAUCCUAGCAUGGCAGAAUUUCCUGAAUAAAUUUCUGUUGAUAUAUUAAUCUAAAAGAUUUUCCUUUUUUUUUCCUUUUCAUUUUUGUUUUGGGCUAUGAUAUUCAAUAGUACCUCAUACUUCAAGUCAUUUUCUUUUCAAUUACUGAAAACCUAAAAUGUUGCUGCAAGAAGUGAUGGAUGCUGUCGUUGUGCUAUGUAAAUGGACAGGUUCCAAAGCUUUUAUUGCACAGGCUCUUGCCUAAUGUUAGGUAUUCCAUAUGGAUAGAUGGAAAGCUCCAGCUUGUUGUGGAUCCAUAUCAAGUUCUUGAGAGGUAUAUUGUUUGUGCUUAAAUUAAGUGGUCAUUGAAUGGAGUCAUUCAGAUAUGUAAAAUGGCUUGUGAAUUCAGUGCAUCUUUUUUUUUAAUUUUUCUGGUAUCUUCAAAUUGAGAUGUAUGGAAAUUUUGUUGUACCUGUGUGUGUAUACUCAUUUUCUUCUGUUAUCUGUCACUGUACCAAUUUCUGGUCCCAACAUGGCAUCACUUCAAAAGUUAUGAACCAUCAUAAGUUUCAUUGGUUCAUCAAUAGGCAACUUACGGGAUUCUGGAAAAAUGCAUGGAAAAUAUAAUUAUAGCCGUAUGCUCUUUUUAUCAGCUGUCUUGCAAUGUUAACAUUAUUACACUGUUAUUGAUCCUACAUUUUCAUUUAAAGCAUUCAAAAAAGGAACUGCUUUUCUUGCUUGGGACAUGGGAAUGUCAUCUUUCUGUUGGUUUACAGUAACUCAUGCUUUGGCAAUGUGUUCUGGAUAUGUUGACUCAUGUUAAGACAGUUUUUUUAGUGUUAGCAUUUACCAUAUAGAUCUUCAUGCAUAUUGCAUUUCUGGCCUCUAGAAGAAGGGGAAAUAGGUAGAUAAUUUUAGUAUAAUUGCAUAAUCUAUGUGUUUGAAUCAUACCUGAGCUGUCCUUUGGUUCAGAUUCUUGUGGCAGCAAAAUGCCAGUUUUGCAAUCUCAAGACACUAUCAUCGCUUUGAUGUGUUUGAAGAGGCUGAAGCUAACAAAGCUGCAGGAAAGUGUGACAAUUCAUCCAUUGAUUACCAGAUUGAAUUUUAUAAAAAAGAGGGUUUAUCGCCAUAUUCCAAGGCUAAGCUUCCAAUAACCAGUGGUAGGUGUAUAAUCCUAUGUGUGUGCGCACGCGCUUCAUGUUCUUGAAGAUUUGUAUUUCUUAUGUUUUCUGCUCAAUGACUGACCUUUUGCAGAUGUUCCUGAAGGUUGUGUUAUCAUAAGGGAACAUAUUCCCAUCACAAAUCUGUUUACCUGCCUGUGGUUCAAUGAAGUUGAUCGGUUUACUGCCAGAGAUCAGUUAAGCUUCUCCACUGUGAGGGAUAAAAUAAUGGCUAAAGUUGAUUGGAGCAUCAAUAUGUUUUUGGAUUGUGAGAGGCGUAAUUUUGUGAUUCAGGUACAUGUUUAUGUGUUGUCUUUCUAUUAUCAGGGGAGAUGAAACCAGUGCAUCUAAAACUAAGCAAUUUGUUAUUGUUCUGCUCUAAAUGAACCUUAUAAGUGAACUUUUCUAAUGAAGUUGGCCAAAAAAGCUGAAUGACUUUAAUUUUAUUGUUAUAUUAACUUAUGUAUUUUUUUUCCUUCCAUGUUUAACAUUGAGCAGCACCUCCUUCCUCUGUUGAAAGAGGAAAGUAUGACAAUUUAUUAUUGGUCUGCUCUAUGUUGCCUGUUUGUCUUAUUUAUUAUUGGUCUGAUUUUAGCCGCAAAUGUUCCUUGUUUCCCAAACACAGAGUUCUGGCAACUAAAUGGAUCCUCUGACAACAGUGUAUUGAACAAAGCUGUCCAGCUACUAUAUACAGUGCACGAGACUGAUCUCUAUGGGUGUCUUUGAUCCCUUCUCUAUUUUUUGAUCCUCCAAGUGUUUCUUUGGGUGUUUAAUGUGGUUACUCCAUGCAUUUUAUCAUGUUCUCCAUACAAGUGACAUUUGAGGCUAAAUUCCGUCCUGGGAGUGCAGCUAGUAUGCUUUGACCAAAUGAUGCUAAAAGCAGGAACGAUCAAAUAAAAACAAUCUUUAAUGGGGAUAAUUAACUUGGAUUUAAAAAAUAAAACUCCUAUGCUUUGGGAUGCUAAAUCCUACUACUAUUAGUUUCUCUGUAACAAAAUGCCACUGUUUUAUGGUACUUUUAUGCCACUUGAUUUUUCUUUUGACUUGCAGGCUUACCACAAAGAUUUAUUGGACCACAUGCCACCUCCAGUUGCUCAUGUUAUUCGACAUCCACCACCAUUACAUCGUGAUAGUUCAGCUGGGAGAAACCCAAGUAAAAAUUCAAGGCGUGGAAGAGAUAGGAGAUCUGGUUCAAGGCAACACCGCAAGGCUGCUGCGGGUAACAGGGAGAAGCAAACCUUUUUGUAGGAGAGGUAAAAGUAGGUGUUUUUUAUUUUUUUUCAUUAUACUGCACGGGGAAGAUGGAUUUGGUUAGAAGUAUUUAGAAUGACCCAAAAACAAAAGCAACCGAAAUUUUGUUUGAAAUUAUUGAUAUCUCAUAUUCUUUCAUUGUUGUAAAUACUUCAUACCAAAUAAGUCCACACCAGCUGCAAUCAUUGAAUGCUUCUUGAUUUUCAUUUACUUGGUGCACGAACAUGCAUUGGCCAUCACUUGUGUAUCUUGAAAAUGUCAGCUUUCAUGCUUUAUGCGUUGUCCAGUUAUAGAAAUGGAAGAUAUACUUUCUACAUUGGCCAUCACUUGUGUAUCUUGAAAAUGGCAGCUUUCAGGCUUUUUGCGUUGUCCAGUUAUAGAAAUGGAAGAUAUACUUUCUAUCCUCUAUACAAUAAAUACCGUGCCAUCCUGAGUGCGGAGCGACUAAUCCUUGUUCUUAGGAGUGUUGUUCAUCUUCUCUUUUGAGCUAUUAAGAUGCACUGCUUAUUCUGCUUUUCUAAGCUUGAAUCUGAUCUUUCCUUCAUGUGUUCUUCCAAGGUUUUGGGAAUGAGUUGUUUAAUUCUAGGGCAUUUGUAAGAUGAGAAAAUCUUAGUGUUUUCAGGCCUACGGAAUGUUUCCUAACCUGUGACUGUACAAGUAAAUAGGAAGAUUUCUGAACUGGCCUCGUCCAUGCUCUUACCUCAAUACCCAGAUUGAAAAUUUUGGUACCCUAUAUGUUGAAUCUCAUGUUUCUCCACUCUUAUCAAAUCCUCAACUAAAUUCAAAAGCAGGAAUUGAAAGUGGAAGGAUAGAUUAUCCUUCAACCCUACAGACAGCACAUAACAUGAUCCUUCAACCCUACAGACAGCACAUAACAUGAAAGGGUCUCACAGGAGAGGAGAGGAGAGGCCUAUCAGCAAGAUACAAGUUCCAGUGGUGAGAAUCGACCAUACACUUAAAAUAACAUACAAUGAAGUAUACCUGCAAAAUAUAACAGCUGUAUUGAAUACAAUAAUGGCUUCUUCUCUGUGAUGAUAAUAUAAUAAUGUGGUUUUGUCAUUCGAUUUGCAUACAGAACAGAGCAAUACAGCUUGAGAUAUGUUAAAAGUAUUCUAUGGAUCCAUUUUUUCAAGUGCAUGCCGAAAGCACUUUUGACAAUUAAAAGCAACCUCAAGUUUUAGCAAGUUCGAGUUAAACUAUAAAGGUUCACACUUUUUAGGCAUUGAUUCUCAUUUUCUGUUAAUUAUUUCUUACUCUUACAGUUCAUUUUAUAAACAAUUUUCUUAAUUCGAUGAUAAAAGAAAUAUCUUCCUAGUAUCAGUUAAAAUUUGAUAACACCUGCAGCUCAACUAAUAAGAUGCAUCGAAGAUGAUGUUGAAGUUAACAAAUUGUCAUGACACUUCCUGUUAGCUUUUUUCUCUUGUUUAAAAUUAUUAUUUUGAAAUUAUUUUAAUAAGCUAAUAUUAAAAAUAAAUUUUAAAAAAUAAAAAAAAUAGGACAUGAUAAAAGUUAUAUUUAUUACACCCUCUGUAGAUUUCUCGUGAGGAAGAAAGGUCGUGUGAACUUGAUCCUCCUACAUGACGAUACAUGGAUUCUAACUUCCAAAAAGCAAAAAUAAAAAAUUCCAAAAAGAGCUUUUCUUCUACAUUUAAGAUAAUUAGAAACACAAAGGGUAGAGGGUCGGCCAGUGAACAUGUGACCCACAAAUGUGGGAUUGCUAAGCACAAGAAGCAAAGAAAGGCAUAAAAAAACGAAGGCAUUUUGUGCAUGGGAGGAAGGUAUGGUAUGGGAUUAUUGAGAGCAAGAAAUCUCUAUGGAUUGCCACUUGAAAGGAUAUAAAACACCAAAUUAUUGCUUUCUCUACCACCUCUCUGUCCAAAUCUACAUACCUUAAUUAAAUAAGUCUGAGCCCACAGAAUUAUUAUAUCCAUUAAUUUAGCUCAAUUAUUAUAUCACCCAUAAAUGUCACAUCCAGAUCAGCACCAAUAAUUUUACCUUCCGUUCCAGUUUCAUUUCCCUUCAAUUUGUUUACAGCUUUAGGGUUUUGGGAUGCAAAAGGGUUUCCUGGAUCUGUCUCUCAACAUCUUGAAUUUGAGGUUAGGAUCCUAUAGUCUUUUAUUGGUGGAUUAAAGGGGUCUUAUAUUGAAAUUUGAGGUGGGGUUUAUGUGGGUUUUUCUUGUUUAAUACACUUUGAUUCAAGAUUUGUUUUCUUGGUACAAUUGGUGGGGGAGAUCAAGUUAUGGUCUUGAUUAAUGGGUUUAUCUUGGUUUUUGAGUCUUGGGUUGCUAUCGAAUUCUGGGCUUUAAAUCUUGAUCAAUGAUUCGAUCGUCUUUCUUCAAGAUCACACAUUUAAAAAAGUAGGUUUGAGGGCUCUUUCAAUAGGGUCGAUGUUACUCUUUUCUUGUAUUGUACUUUGGUAGCUAUGGUUUAAAGGCCUUUUCUUGUUGGGUUGAGCCAUUGUUUCUGAUAGAGUUAAAGAAAGGAGAGGGGAGAGUAGUUCUUUUUGGUGCUUGAUUAAAUGGGAUCCUCUGGCUUCUUUCUGAUAUGUAUGCUUCAUUCUGUGAUGGCUCUAACUUGUGGAGCUUUGAUGAUGUUUUACACAAAUGAGGCCACUGUGUUUGGUCAUGGCAUUGAAAUAGCUACAAAGCUUAAAGGUUCAACACCACAUGACCAACUCCUGGUCCAAACCUCUGAUUCCUUUUCUGGGUUGCUAUUGUUUGCCAUUGGGUUCCUUUUGUUCAUGGUGGCAUUUGUUAAGGACAGAGAGUUCCAGAGUUUCUUUGCUAAAGGUUGUGUCUUGCUACAUGUUUCAAUGGCUUUCUGGAGGAUUUACUUUGAGAGGAAGCUUGAAGAUCUGGCUCGUGAUUUGCCUAGACUAGUUGUUGGUGACAUUGCAUUGGCUCUUUCUUGGGUUUUCUUUCUUGUUUAUUCUUGGAGAGAGAAGUAUGAUUAGCAAGCUACAAGAGUCAGAUAGCCAGUCCAUCAUCGAAUAAAUUUGAGCUGUUAUUGUGGUAGCGUUACGGGUUCUGCCAAGUGGGAUCUUUUUUCCUGGCUCUGUUCUGUAAAUUACAGGGUGAAUCUGGAACUUUAAAGAAAUGGACGCAAAGCAUGGAUCGGAUUCUUGGUUAGUGCGCGUUUUAAAUUCUUGAUUGGAUCUUGAACAAGCUUGGAUUCCAAGAAAAGCUGGAGAUGAGAUCUGGGGGCUGCCAUUUUGUUUUUAAUUGAGAAUCUUCAACUUGAGAAGUUUCUUGCACUUACUGUGGUGCCUCUGUGGGCUUCUUGUAUUGAAUUUCAAUGGCAUUUGUAAAUCAACCUUCUUCAAAUAGAUAUUUGAUAAUAAUUAGAAAUGUGAAUCCCAUAAAAGUUUACUCGUUUGCUGCCAUCUCUUACUUUCCUGGCAAUCUUUUCUUGCUAUUUUUCCAGUCUAUUUGAUUUACUGAUAUUGCAAUUUGCACGCAUCCGCAGCUUUGAGUUUGGGACAAAACUAUGCCAAGACAUUUCCAGGAUUUUGUUAAGCAAUCCGAGGGAGGAAUGAUUUGUCUAAUUAAUCAAACGGCAAGAACUGUAAAUGGAGUCACACCAACUUUUAUUUUUUUAUUUUUUGGUUGUAUAUAUUAUAUGAAUUCUCAUCAUAUUAUAUCAUAUUAUUCGAGCUAUUUCCUCUUUGCAUUUCAAGAAUAAUUUGGAAAAAAAAAUAAUUUUAUUUAUUUAUUUUAAAUUAAUAAUUUUUUAAUAUUUUAAUAUUAUUUUGAUAUAUUGAUAUUAUUUAUCAUCAUAUUUUACAAGUUAUUUUGUAUUUGUAUUUUAAAAAUAUUUUUUUAAAAAAAUAUUAUAUUAUUACUAUUUUUAUUUAUUUUAAAUUAAUUAUUUUUUGGUGUUUUCAUAUUUUUUUAAUGUAUUAAUAUUAAAAAUAAAAAAAAUAUUAUUUUAAUAUAUUUUUAAAUAAAAAUUAUUUUAAAAAAUAAUUAUUAUUAUAAAAUCAAACAGAAUUUUAAUCUUUUAAUUUAUUGAAGAUUGACCUUAAUUUUUGUUGCAAACAUAAAAAAAAAAAGUUAUAAAGAAGGGGGAUUAUACGACUUCUUAUCUUUUCCGAUGCUGAAAUUUUAUCAUUCUAAAAAUAAUAAUUAUUAUUCCUAUAAUAAUAUUUUUUAUUUUGAAAAAUAACUCUUAAAUUUAUAUGGAAGGAAAACUAAAAUUUAUUGAAAAUUAUUUUUAGUUGGUUUGAGAGUGUGAUUAUUUUUUAAAAUAUUUUUAAUUUAAAAAUAUAUUAAAAUAAUAUAUUUUUUAUAUCAUCAAAUCAAAUAAUCUAAGAAAAAUUAAUUUUAUUAAAAAAAAAGAUUUAGCUUCUGUUUCAGCCGCAAUCCGAGUGCUUAUUCUACGUUAAAAAGAAAAGUAUAUGCUGUUAUUGGACCAUGAAGGCUCGGCCCACGGACGCCACAACAUCUUGUCUAGGGACCCGUUUCUUUCUUCUUCUUCUUCUUCUCUCUCUCUGAAGUUUCUAGCAUUCAACCACAACAGAAACCCUGCAGAGCCCCAACUCCUGAAACCUUUGACAAAAUUCUAACGGUAACUUAUUCUUUUCUUUUGCUCUUUCUAUGUUUCCUUGUGUUCAUCUGUUCAUUUAUUGUCUUUUAAGUUGUAGAUGGUCUGUUAUGGUUUAGUGUUUUGCUUUGUUUCUGGUUUUAUUGUUUGAAUAAACUUUUUUCUUUUUCUUUUUUCAGAAUUGUUAUUUGCUUUUGUUUUUUCUUUAAUUCUAAUUGUUAUGAGGAAAGGUCAUCAAAAGCUCAAAUGGUUUUAUCUUGAAGAUGAUUUUUUAGUCAAGAAUGCAAUUUUGUAAUGGCAAAUGAUUAUAAUUGGUAUCAUUAAUUGAUUUUGGUUUCUGGGUAUAUGUUUUGCAUAAAUUUCAAUAUUUAGGUUCCGUUUUAAAGAAGAUACUGUAGUUUUCAAGAUAGUUGAGAAACUGAGAACAUGAUAGACAUGAUCUUUCACUGCUAUGAAAAGGAUGAUCAUGCCGGAGUUCUUAGAGAAAAAGGUCGGAUUUUUACUCGAGGAAAAUGAAUUAUUUAUUUUUUUAAAAAAAAAAGUUUGGUUACUUGAAGUUAUUGAUUGGGAAGCUUUCAUACUGUUGGUUCUGAACUUGGGUGAAGCGCAAUUUUGAACUUUUUAAGUUUCUAUUUUCUGUAUGUUGAUUUUGGGUAUAUAGUUAGUCAGUUGCAUAGAGUACUGCUAUAUAACACAAAAAUAAGUUAGCGAAAAGUUCACAAGCAGAUAAAGUGGCCAGAGAAGUGAUUUCGUUCAACUUUUGGGCUAUUUAUUUUUUGUGCCUGUUCGUGUCCUAUUUGUUACAAAAUAUUCGUGUUAUACAGCUUUCUUCAAUUGGGUAAUUGAGAAGCUUGGUUGAGUUAAGUUGCUUCCUGGAUUUAAAAAGAAAUGGGGUGUCUUUUUUGAGUGGUUGUUUCCUUGAACCCAUAUAUAAGUGCAUUUAUAUUAGGCUUUUGUGAUUGCUUCUCAUGACUGUGUCAGAAUCAGAUUCAUCGGUUUGAUUGAGUAUAAUGUUGACAGAUUUUUGGCCAAAUGUCUAAUUUUUAUGAGGGGAAAUGGGAAUAUGAACAAAAACAAACCUUUCAUGUUGUUGAUUUACCACGCGGAGUACUUAAUCAGGUCUUAAGUUUCUGUCUUAGUAAGCAAAACAGCACUUAAUGGUAUGGCAGUGUUUCAAAUUGUUUGAUGGAGUCGGAUAUCAUACUGAAUUGCUUGUGCUAUGAGCUGCAUUAGAAGGAUGAUUAGUGAUCCCUUUGUAGGAAAACAAAUUGGGAUAUGAGCAAAUCUCAUAUGGUGGAGGACAGUCAUGCAAUGGAACAUCUGAACAAAAAUUUUGAAUUGUUUUAGUGGAGUUGAUUGAUUGGACAAUUUGUAGAACAAGGACUCCAGGUGGCAAAGGCAUUAAUUGGCAAAAAGAGAGAAAAGAAAAGGUGCACUUUUUUCUGAUGAAGAAAAAGAUGUCUCUAUUCACAACAGAAAAAAUCUCCUCUUUUUUUUUUUUCUGAUGAACCAAGCAAUUGCAAGCAGCUAGUAAUGAACAACAAACAAUACAGUAAUGAAGAAAUAGAUGUCUCUCUAUUCACAACAGAAAAACUCUCCUCUAGUGAAUUGUAUAAUCAUUGGAAUUAUAACAACGAAAAAAAACCUAUGUAAUGAGUUUAUAAAUAGAGUAGAGGCUCUUGAAUGAUUUUCUUCAUUCCUUUCUUUAUUUCUUUAUGCCUUACAUGUGUUUUCUGCAGAUUUGUGAUGGGUGGACUGCCUUUGCAAAAUGCUUCCCCUACCCCAGUUGUCAGCCAGGUGUCAGUAAUUACAAAUUCUACUAAAGAAUCAAAGCCCAAGAAGAAGAUCUGCUGUGCUUGCCCUGAAACUAAGAAACUAAGGGACGAAUGCAUUGUGGAGCAUGGUGAAGCUGCAUGCGCAAAAUGGAUUGAGGCUCAUCGACUGUGCCUCCGUGCUGAGGGCUUUAACAUUUGAGUUUGGUAGAUAUGGUUUAGUUCAUAAAUCAAUACCAUUUUGGAAUAUAGAAUACUUGUUUUGGAAUUACACAUACUGAAUAGGAGGAAUAAAGCUAGAAAACACAGGUUUUCUUGACCUUCUGUACUUGCAGUCAUUUUUAUCUUCUUGAAUUAUGAUUUCUUUCCUUCCUCUGUGACAAUUGAAAAUGAUCAGAAUCCUUGGGUGGGGUUGAUAUUGUGUUGUCUCUUCUCUUUGUCAGUGUUAUCUGAUUAUUUUUUGAACCUGUGAUUUUACAGGCAGAGGAAAGUUGUUCCUCUGAUGUAUUGCAUUCCUUACAUGCCAAUAACUCUCCCAUUUGUGAUUCCUUAUUUAAAUUCCAUUACGGUGUUAUGUAUUGUUCUGAACUUCUGAUGAUAGAUUAUAGACUCUCAUCUCGUACUUAUGCAAGCUUAUCCUCACAUGUUGAUUGUUAUCCUUACAAGUAGCAGUUGCUAAGGAUGAAGUGAAAAGUUAUAAUCUGAAGUGUAUUGUCCAGAAUUAGACAUUCUCAUCAACUUUGCUGCAACCUGAAUUAUCCUCUCUGUCACUUUUGAGCCAUUAUAUCUCCCUUGAACUCAAGUGAGCUUGUCGAAGGGCUGAGAAGCAACUCUGAGAGGAUAACUCUGGGUUAGAACGUCUAACUUGGACAAUGCAUCUUCAGACAAUAACAUCUCUUAUCUUCUUAUUUCAUCUUUGCAACUUCUAAUCACUGCAUGCCAGGCCAGUUCUAUCUUCUUUGUCAAUAUCGAGAACAGAUUCUCCUAGUUUUAUAACUCGCGAGUUCUAUCUUUUUUAUUCAUUGCUUCCUAUGCUAAUUGUCAUUUAGUUCAGAGAACAGAUUCUCCUUUUUUUUUUUUCCUUCCUUAUCUGUGUCCAUUGGCUAUAAAAUGGAAAAGGUAAAUAAGAAGAGAAAUCUAGACGUGUGAGUUCAAAGAGUUGGUUGACUGCAAGAAUUUCAAACUGGAAGACAUAUUAGGUCAUCUUUCAUGGUAUUUCAAAGCUUGUACACUACAUUUCAGAUUGUUUGCCAAAACUUCAGUGAUGAAACAGGAAAAUGGAAAAAACCCAGUCUUCUUCUCAUGUUUCUUUUACGUUUUAUGUUUGUAGUCUAGUGAUAAGUUUAUGCCCCUCCUUUAUGGUAUUUGCACUAUUUUGGUCGUUCUACAUGCUGCGGUUAAUUUUCGAUUCUAUUUGGUUUUUACUCAAAAUAAAAAAAUAAUAAUAAUAAUAACUAAACCAAAAGUUUUUAUUAUUUUAAAUUAAUAACCGAAACUGGUUCAAACUAGUUAUUUUAGUUCGGUUCAGUUAAUUGAAGGAAAAAACCGAUUUAAUAAAACUAUCGAGUGUUAAAUCCCCUGCUGCGAAUCACUUCAUUCUAAUCCAGAAAUAGCAUAUUAUCCCGAACGUAAAUAAUAGGAGUAAUAGCAUAAAAAGGAAGGAAAAAAAAACAUAUUUUCUCCCGAUGGAAGCGUAAGUUUCUUCAAUAGGCUUUGUCCAUUGCAGAAGUGUUCCACCAGCGUCCAACAAUAAUGCAUCAUAUGCUUUUUUAACAUACUUUAUUGCUCCUGUAAUGUAAUGAAACAAAGUGAACGAAUCUGAUCUAUUGAAAUAGUGUACGCAUUUAUAUAUAUGUACUAAUAAAUAAAUAAAUAAAUAAAGCACUAAGUAGAAAGGAAAAGUGACCAGACCAGCAGAGUGGAUGGCAAUGGAAGAAGAGCUUGAUAGCUUCAAUUUGAUAGGUUUCAGAGCUUUAAGCAAAUAGUUCCCAUGACAUUGGCCAAACGGGAAAUGGAGAUUUAGGAAUGGAAUUGAGCAAAAUAAAAGAAAGAUAUACCUUUAAAGAUUGCUAGAUACCUUUGUUUUUUCUCGAGACUUUGAACCUUAAAACUGGAGAAGACAAGAAACCAGAGAAGGGGAGAUGCGAGAACUGAGAUAGAGAGAAAACCUGGAGGAGGGCGGCGGCUGGGUUUGACUUGGCCUUUAGAGUUAGAAGAAAAGUUUAUAUUUAUACUGUUUUUCUUUCAGUGGUGGUUUUCUUGCUCACCCCUAAUUACCAUGUCGUGGAACAAAUUAGGAUAAGAGUUGUAUUGAUCUCAAAUAAGCUGAUGCCGUCGUACCAGAGAGCUCAUGAAGAAAAAAAUUGAGGAGUUCCAGUGAAGAUGAUACGCAGAAUAAUCUUGAAUUUAGAACAGUACUAGUUGGCAAAGAAGGAACAAAACUGAAAUGCAUGGUAAAUGAUUUAAAAUUGUGAGAAAGAAAUCGGGAUUCAAUGAUUUUGUUUUGAAUUUGAUGUUCUUAAUUCCUUUCUUCUUCCCCCGUGUCUCCAACCCAACGGUGUCUUGUUUCUGAGUAUGAAAGCAGGAUUCAAUGAUUUUGCUUUGAAUUUGCUGUAAUCAAAGCAAAAGAGGAACUGCUGGCUUGCCCUGAAACUAAGAAACUAAAACACGACAGCAUUUUGGAGAAUGGUGAAGCUGUUUGUGUGAAAUAGGUUAAGACUCAUUGUCCAGUGAGGACUUCAACAUUUGGCAAAUGAAUAUCACUUCGAGGAUAGAACAGAUACGAGGAAUAAAGCUAAAAACCGCAACUUUGCUUGACUUUUUCAUAUCUUCAAUCAUUUUUUCUUGGAACUCCACUAACAAUUGAAAAUGGCCAAAAUGCAUGAAUGAGGCCUUGAUACUGUGUUUGUCUCAUCUCUUUGUCGAUGCUUUAUUCUUGUCUGUACAUGUGAUUUAACAGGUAGACUAAAGCUCCUUUCUCCAAUGUAUUCCAUUCCUUAAGAUGCCAUUGAAGUCUUCCAUUCAUUUAUGAUUCCUUCUUCAUAUUCCUUAAUCAAUGGUGUUAGAUAUUGUUCUCAGCUUUUCUUACGAUGGUUAUUGACAAUUUAUCAUAAGGAGAUCUAAUGGCUGAAAAGCAAGUAACCAAGGAUGGAUAAUUAUUCUACACGCUACUAUAAAUUGAUCUAAAGGUCUUCAGACAGUAACCCUUUCCCCGAUUUCUUCUGUUCAUCUUUUACGACCACUAAUCAUUGCAUGCCUUGCUAGUUGUAUGAUCAAACAAUUGCUGGCCAGGUUACGUACUUUCUUGUGAUCCUUUUGAGUAUUCUCUUUCGCAAUCACUUGAACAUAUUGCUGGCCAUGCCGUUUCUCUUCGAGUUCAGAGAUCUCAGAUUAGAUUCUUCCAAUUUAACUUUCUUUUGCUUUUGGGUUUAUCUUUUAUGACUUCUCAUUGCUGCGUGACAUAUUUCUUGUGGAAUCUUUAAGUGUUGUGUGCAUUAGCAGAAAAUAAAAGGAAAAAAAUAAUCUUGACACGAUCCCAACGAAGAAGAGUUGAUUGCAAGAUUGUGGUCUGGGAAAAAAACUGAUUUCUUAAGCAAUAACGAUCUCAAAUUAACUUGCCUAAUUAUUGUAAUGCUAUCCGAUUGUAAUUCGCUGUGGUGAAGCUAUGCUUUCAUGCAUCAAAUUUUAUGCCAUUUGAUCACAGAGCAUACCGCUUGAUAGGCUAUGAACUCUAGAUUAAUAAAGUUCAGCAAUAUUCUUGCUCUGGUAGUCUAGGUCUACUUUAGCCAUGGAGACAAUAUAGUUGUGAAGUAAAUGAUUAGAAAGAUGAGAGAAGCAGAGUACUACACUAAUUAUAAGACUUCAUUAAAACCACACCAGAGGCCACAGACAUGGCCAAUACAUAACAAUGAAGAAGACACAAAGAUAAAGACACUCACGGACACUUUUGUUUGUUCACUCCACACCCACAAGUACAGAAGAACACAGAUUAUUUAUCAGAAAUUACAUUAUUAAUCCACUCCCAAUCCCACAUCAAACAUGAUAGUUGAUGUGCUUGCUUAAUGACCGCAUGUGCAGGUAGUGCAAGUGCAGCCAGUACCGCAGUUGCACUUGCCAUCGUUCUCAGCUGCUGGCACCUCCAUGACUACGGAGGAGACAUAGCUGCAAAAAGAAUUAGACUCCAUUGUAUUAGCAUCGUGUUCCCAUUUCCUUCAUUAUCAAUCUUAACUGACGAACCAAAAAUGUUUAGGAAUAAAGCAAUAUAUAUUAUUCAUUCUGCUUAUUAAUCAUCAGUGCAUGCUGAAGCUUCAAUCAUGUCUCUCAACGCUAAUUAAGACUACGACAACAGGACUUUAAAGAUAGAGAUGCGAAAGUUACUUCUUCUCAGUCUCGACGAUGCCAGCAGUGUAGCUGCUUCCCUUCUUGCUGCAAAUUAAUCACAAAUUGCAUGGCAUGAGAGAGCAGAUAGCAUAAUGUAUGCACGAAAGCCAUGCAGAAACAUGAACUACCUACUAUACAGCUUGCACAACAUAUAUAAACCAUAAACAAGCAAGAGCUGCUUAAUCAGGUUUGCAAAAGAAGGGGAAAAAAAGAAGAAGAAUUCUUACACACACUGGGUCUUGUCAGCGCAGUCGCAGGUGUCGCAGGUGCUAGACAUGAUGAUUGAUUGAUUAAGCUUAAAUGGAUGAACUAAAAGACUUGGAGUAUGAAUGUGUUCUCUGUGUAGCUUAAUGAGUUGUUAUAUCUUCAAGCCCUGCUCUAUUUAUAGAAGGAGAGAGCGCAUCAGUAAUGGCUGCGAUGAAGAGGAAGGGCAAUUGUGGGACCCUCUUAAGGCAUGAGAGAAGCACACUCUUCUCGAGGAAACGUCCGAAGGAAUCUUGA